AAUAAUUCUUCUCAACAGUAUAAAAAUAAACGUAAGAAUAGACCUUUAAAUUUAUAUCAAAAUAAUUAACCAAACAUUUGCAAGUUUCAAUACCCGAAGGAAUUCAACAUCCAUGUGACAAAAACUACCAAUCACAAAAAUUUCAGAUACACAAGAUCUUUCAGCAAUUCAUACUAAUUAAUAACGACCAAAACUGAGCAACAAAACUACUAGAAAUAAAUUAAAAAGCUUAAGUUAUGAUAAGUUUUUAAGUAUCCUCCGGACGGAAGAGACAAGUUUCAGCAAACAAAAAUAGCCAAUCUCUAGUCGUCUGCAAAAGUGGUCUUUUUUCCUGAAAAAAGUAGAAAUAAUCAUGAGAAAAUGAAAAUCGUGACAGAAGUAAACAUAACACAUAUGGCCAUAGUUCUGCAAGCAGACAAGCAGACCAUGGAUUUAACACUGAAGGCUAAUGAAAAGACGAUUCUAACAAAAAACGGUUUUCAAAAGAAAAAUUAACUCUAGAAAAUAUGCAGGAAUAAUAAAUAAUGCUGAAUGAUUAUUUACAUGGAAAUUAAAAUAUAUUGUUGAAAAUUACAUGCAACAGCAAAAGAAACAUCAAAAACAUAAUAAAGCCAAGCAGAUAGAAGAAAAUUAUACCUGUGCCUUCUGGAGCAAGGCUUGGUUUAUUGAAUCCAAAACGACCACCACCCCUUCUACCACCUCUACCACCAUCCCUUCCACCACUUCUUCCUCCACCGCUCCUGUCACCAAAUCGACCUCCACUAUUCCUGUCACCAAAUCGACCACCACGACCUCUAGAGCCACCACCCCUUGGAGUUCCUCUACCACCAAAACCUGUACUUUCUCUAGGCUUAGCUUCAUCAAUUGACAAAGGAUAACCAUCAAGUUCACUUCCAUGGAGCUCUAUGGCUUUGUUAAAGCUGUCUGAAUCUUUGAAGUCCAUGUAUGCAAACCUUUAGAUAUCAUUGUAUAAGUUAGAUUCAAAAGCAACAUUUAAUAAACCAGGCUGUAGAAUCGAGUUUUCAAUUAAGAUAAACAGAGACAAUGACUGUCAAAUUCUGAAUUUAAAAACAUACCCCUUUGAAUAGCCAGUAUCAUAAUCCUUGGGGAUUGACACCCUUGAAGCCUGCCCGCAAGAAGCAAAAUGUUGUUCCAACUUUGCUCUAAUCUGUGUAUAUAAGAAAGACUUGAGAUAAAACAUUCAAAAAGCACAUAAUAAUAAUGAACUUAAUAAAAUAGGAGAACAACAUUACCUCAUCCUCUCCAAGAGAUUUAUCAAAACCCCUGACAAAUACAGUUUGGGACUGGCCUCUACCACUGUUCUGGUUGCUGCAAUUAUUAAUAAAAUAUAAGUUAUACUGGAAUUAGUACAAGCGACACAAAUGAAUAAAAUAAAAACUUGUAUAUGAAUAAGAUACCCAGUACUAUUUGGAGUGAAAGCUCCCCUUUCCCGAGCUAAAUCAAGCCGAACACCUCUUUGCAACAAUUCUUGCCCAUUCAACUCAAGUGCCUAUAUUAAUAAACACAACUUAAUUAUGAGUAACAAGUCAAUCUAGAGGUAUAUGACAGGGAUACAGUUCCCAUUAAUUACACAAAUUAGACAAAAUGAGAUACAUGACAGGGAUGACAUCAAUAACAGUUCUCAUUAAUAACACAAAUUAGACAAUGUUAAAAGCAUACACUUUGUGCUGCCUCUGCAGUCGCAAACUCAACAUGUCCAAAGCCUUUAAACCUCCCAUCCUCAUCUGAGGCAAGACGGACAUCAACAACCUCUCCGCAUUCUUGAAAGAAACUUUCACUGAAUAAAUCAAAAUUAGCUAGUUCUUAUAGAGAAAGAUAAACAAACAAUGCAUGAUUGAGAAAAAAUAAGUACAUGUCAGAUCGCUGGACACUGAAUGACAGGUUCCCAACAAAUAAAGUCUUUGAACCUCCAUUCUCACUUGGUGUAGCUGGGGUAGCAGGCUGCAAAAUUUGAAAACCAAUUCAUACACAUUCAUAAUAUAACUAAUUAAAGUUCAAGGAAAGAAAGCAGAUAUCAAUUAAUUACAGCUUUCUUUGAAGAUUUGUCAGCAUCAAUCAUCUCCACAUCCUUAGUCUGUUUCACCACGUGUAAAUAAUCAUUAGAAAAACCAAGAACAAUCCAGAAAUUAAAACCAAGAGAUCAAACAAUAUGCAAACCUUUUUUUGAGGAGUUUUGGAUGGUUCAUCCUCACUCUCACUCUCCUCAUCACUAUCACUUUCCUCAUCACUGUCACUGCUAUCCUUGUCAACAUUCAUCUUAUCCUGCAGAUUGCACACAGCAGAGUCUAAUAAAUAACAUGAUUUAAAAAUACAAAUUAUCACCAAAUAACAUAGGUAUGCUACAAUAUGGCAUAGGUCAUAACCAAAAAAUUCCUAACAAUCACUAACCUCUUUCUUAGAGACAGUCACUGGCUUCUUGUUUCCAUUAGAAGGCUUGGAAGUUUUCUACAGUAUUAAGAAAACAACAUAAUUAUUAAACUACCAUCCAUAUAAAUGAGAUAAAGACACAUGAGUACUACAAGAUUAUAAAACAACUUUAUUAGGAAAAAUGGAAACCAGGUAUAAAUUAUACAUUAUCUUCAUCAGAGCUGCUAUCCUCUUCAUCACUGCUAUCUUCAUCAUCAUCCUCUGUCUUUUUGGCAACAGCAGCAGACUUUGACACCGCAGUUACAGUAGGCUUGGUAUCCUGUAAAGGGGACGAAAUUAGAUAUUUCAAAAAUAUCAUCAUUCAAGCUAACAGAAGUUUGUACGAGACGUUUCAACUGAAAGGAUUGAAAUGUCAAUUCUUUUUUUCCUUUGGUAGAAGAGUAUCAUGGAAACUAAUCAGAGUAAUAGUAAUGACUUUAAUUGAGUGUAUCACCAAGAAAAUACCUCCUCAUCAUCAGAAUCCUCUGAGCUAUCAGAGUCGGAGCUUUCAGCUUUCUUCUUUGCAGCAGCAGGCUUCACAGCAGCAGGAACAACCUUAGCUUUUGGUGCCUGAAUAGAAUAACAGGUUACAGUAAGAAGAGCAUAGCAGGCAAUCCAAUAAACAUAAAAUACUAAUUAGGAAACACCAAUUAUUUCAUGGUUGCCAUGAGAGAUACUACUCACUUCUUCAUCAGAGGAAGAAUCUUCAUCAGACUCUUCAUCAGAAGAACUAGCAGCUUUCUUUGCUGGGGCACUCCCAUUUUUAGCAGGAACAGCUUUUGGAGCAGGUUUCUGAUUAAUGGCAAAUGUCAAUUAAUUGAUAAAAACACAUGAUAUAUCAUACAAUAAAUUCCAAAGUGCCUUCAUACCUCAUCUUCAGAUGAAUCUUCAUCAGAUUCAUCAUCUGAUUCAUCAGAACUUUCCUCCUUCUUUGGUGCCUGCUUAGGCUUGGCAGCAACCGCAACCUUCGCUGGCUUCUUAGCACUCACAUCAUCCUCGUCCGAAGACUCAUCCUCAUCAGACUCAGAAUCUGAAGAACUAGAAUCGGGCUUGGCUUUCUUAGCAUUCCCGUUCUUAGCUGGUGUCUUUUUGACAGGAGCAGCAGGUUUGACAACGGGUUUCUGAGACAUCAAAAAAAUAGCACACCUUAAGUAAACAGCAUAACAACAACCAAAAAAUUACACGAUGAGAGAAAUAUAUACCUCAUCCUCAGAUUCAGAGGAAUCUUCCUCUGAACUACUUUCAUCCUUAACUUUCUGAACCACAGCUUCCUUCUUCUGCUUAGCAAUAACCUCCUCUACCUUUUGUUUCUUAGCACUCACUUUCUUGAUUUCCUCCUCAGCCUGCCUCUUGCCUACAUCAAAAUCAAAACAAUCCAAUAGAAAACCAAGAUCAGAACACCAAAUCAAUUUAAAAUUUUCAAAUUUCAUAAAAUCAGUUAUGAACAACAAAGAACAGUAAAGCGGCUGCAGGGUUAUACAAGCGAUUGUUACCUUUCUUUCCAGACUUGACUGGCGAAACGACAACGGGAGCAGCAUCAACCUUGGUGGCGGAUUUCUUGCUUGACUUGCCCAUCUGAGAGAGUAAAGGGAAGAAGCUGCGGAAGCUAUUCAAAACCCUACGGGUGAGAGAAUUAGGGUUUUGGAGAUAGCUGAGAGUGAGGAAGAUUUAUGAGAGUGAACGGCUGAGCUAGCUUUUAUAUACGAAUGAAAGGGGUUUCACUCAAGUUUUAUGGGUUAGGGUUUUGGGCUUUUGGUACACGUGCCCGAUGAAGCUGUGCGUUUUGAUAUUAGGUUUGGCCAAAGAUAUUUUUCUCUCUCAUCUUAUCUAGUAAUUUUGAGGAUUUGUUUUCACAAACAUUGGAAAUAUAUUUGUUUAAUUAAACAAAAAGAUCCCUCAACUUUUUACAAGAAAAAUCUCUAAUUUUUGUAAUGAAAAAAUAUCAUUAAUAUUAAUAAUUAAUUCAAAAAAUAUUAAUAGUUUAAUAGUAUUUCAAGUUUUUGUAAAAAAAAUUAUUUCAAAUUUUAUUUUAGACGUGAAAUCUCUUUGUAAAUAACAUGAUAAAUUAAAUAAUGUAUGGGUCGUCAUCUGCAAAGUCCAUAAAGAAGAUUUGAUAUUUGCAUGAGGCAUCAAAUUAUAUGUGGGGUAGUUUUAAUCACUCUUAAUAAAUAAAGACAGUAUCACGUUGUUUCAAGUAUUCAAUUCAUUCUUACUUUCAUACCAUUUUUCAUUCAGUACCUAUUUAGUGUCGAUUUUGUAGAUCCAAUCCCUUUUCGUCAUAUCGAAAGCUUACUUCACCACACCAAGACUUCACUCACAACUUUACUACACAUUUUUGGUUCCAUGACAGAAUAGUAGUGUUGUUUGUGGGAAUCAACUACUAAUUCUCUUUGUUUUUCUAAAAAAAACAUUAUCUUUUCACUAAAUACACGUAUCAUUCUUCUACUUCUCGCAUCUCGUCAAUUUUUUUUCGUAUAUCAUUGAUGUUCUUCUCUCAAAAAAUCGAUCUCUUUCUUAAAUAUAUCAGAUAACAAACUCUUGAAGCCAUGGUGACUUUAAAGAUUACUAAAUUUAUGUUUAGUAUCAUGUCGUUGUUGUCACAGUUGAGGCUAACAAAGUUAUGCAUCCUUAUCUAAUAGAGAAUGUGAAGGUGAGAAAAAUACGAGAGAGGGGUUGAAUUGUGUUGAAUUUUUCUUUAUUUAAAUAACUCUUUGUCAUGUUCUAAACACAAGGUAUAAAGUAUGAAUCAAUUAGAGAUAGACAGCGGAGAAAUAAAGCAAGAAAGAAGUGAGACACACAAAGUUAUCCUGGUUCCUCUCACAACUCGAGAGUAAUCCAGUCUCCUUGUACUUACAAGAUAUUUUCACUAUAAUCGCACAGGAUUACAAUUUGCUUUGACACACAAGCAAGAGACUUAUAUGCUCAAGCACACAUGCAAGAGUCUUAAAAAGCUCAAGCACACAAACAAGAGACUUUUAUGCUCAGGCACACAUGCAAGAGACUUCAAAUGCUCAAGCAUAUAAGCAAUAGACUUUAAAUGCUUAUGUUGGAACAAAAUUAUUCAUAUCUAUUGGGUUUUUAUGGUAACAAAGUACGUAAAGAACAUUUGGGUAUACAAGUGCGCAUGACCAUAAGUUUAAAUUUUAACUCAUAAUUAACCCUGAUAAAUAUGUAGAGAAGCUGAGUGUCUCUGAUUCUGAAGGAUCAAAAUUUGAUGACUCUGGACGUGUAGUUCAGCUUCUAAAAGAACAAAAUUUAAUCAUGGUAUCCCUGCCUCUAGUGAUAGCUCAUACUCUGGAGACAUCAACUUAAGGUUCUCAACUUCUGGUUCAUACAACAUCAAACUUAUGAAAAAAGUCAACUAUAGACUCUUAGUGCAAAGCUCAAGGAAAGUUGAUGUGACUACUCUAGUCUGCCCCAACGUAUGGUUCAUACCUAGUAUGAUAAAAAGCAGUGGACUAUGUUAUUACACAUUGGUUGAAGAUCUUAAUAGGGUUCAUCCUCCAACGUCUCUCUCUUACAACUGCUGCUUUUCAAGGAUCACUUGUGCAAGCUACUUUCCAACAACUCUUUUUCUGCCUCUAUAAAGGGGAACUGAAGAUUUAAAGGAAGGUUAACAAUUCACGAACAAUCUAUUAAUUAGAACUUUAACCUAAAGUAUUUAUUUGGUUAUUACACAAGCUCUUACGAUUUCUUAUAUUUGUAUAUCUUAGAAAUCUUAAUUGUUCAUAAUCUUUGUGGUUGUUGUAUUACUUCUAUACCUCUAAUUUACAUCAAGUAUAAUUGUUAUUUUUUCUACUAAAUCAUUUGUUUAAAGUAGAUGAAGUCUCUUGCUAGUUUGUUUGAGCAGUGGAAGUCUCUUACAGGUUUUCUUUAGUACUGGAAGCUUCUUGUUGUGUGCUUGAACAGAAGUCUCUUGUUGGAUUGCUUGAGCGGAAGUCUCUUUCUACUGUGAUUGAGCAGUUGAAGUCUCUUGCUAUUUUGCUUGAGCAAAGUUUAAUCAGCUUGAUUAUAGUGAAAAUCUCUUGUUGGACAAAUGGACUGGAUUACUCUCAGUUUAGGAAAGGAACCAGGAUAAACUUUGUGUGUUGCUUUUCUACUUGGUUCUAAUUGUUAUUCUUUCCGCUGCAAACUAACUAUGUGUUUCGAUUCUGAACUUAUUCUGAUUCUGAAGCUAGUAUUCAAAGUAGAAAAAGAACCAACAUACAUAAUUUUUGGUGGUGUAAGCCCUAUAGAUCAACACUUUUGGUACUUGUAUCGAAUUAUUUAUUAAUAAUAAAAGGUUUUUUCUUUAUUAUGUUUGUUUAAUAAAGUCCGUAGAAUAGCUAGUCCGUUUAAUGUAGCAAGUGUGACUUAAUCAUGAGAUCCCAUUAAACAUAAGGACAUUAUUCUUAAAGUAUCUGUAGUCGAACUUUGUUGUGAAAUAUGAUAACAUUAAAUCAUUAAGAUUAUUAUGUAUAUAGACUGAUGAUCACAUCUCAUGGAUCAUGGAUUAGGAGUUAUAAAGUCUUAAACAUAAGUAUGGAUAUUAGGAGUAAUAUUUAUACUAGAUUGACUCACUAUGAGAAUACUACAUAGAAUGUUAUUCAAAGUGUCAUAAGUUAUUCUCAUGGUGAUAGUGGUGUAUACCACCCUUCGACCUGAAACAAUUAUGGACCCUAGAUGUAGAGUUGAGUGCUUUAUUGAUGAUCAAACGUUGUCCACAACUGGAUGGCCAUAAAGAUAGUUGAUGGAUACUUCAUGAAGCAUGCUGAGGAACAUGAGUGACCUAAAUGGAAUUUGCCCAUCUUGCGUAACAGGAUAAAUGCCUAAGGCCCUAAUAUUGAAUUGGACAAGGAUGACACGGUAUAUGUCUUGUGUUCAAUAUAGACAUAAGGGGAAAAUGGGUAAUUGUACACACAAGUAUUAUCACAAAAAGGGAUUUGUCAUAUCACAUGAUAUUUUCGUGUCUUGGGUAGCAGUGAUGUGUUGCUAGAUACCGCUCACUAUUUUAUUAAAUACGUGAUUUAAUAUAAUUGUCAAUAUCGCGAAAAACCUACAGGGUCACACACAAAAUGAUAGAUUAAUAAGAGAUUGAGUAAAUAAAGAACAUCGUAAGGUACGGUGCACUUAAGUAGAAUACGAAAUAUGGUAAAGUACCAUGCGCUUAAGUGAUUUUCGAUAUACCGUAAGAUACGGGCUACAUACACUUAAGUGGGCUUUUUAGUUUACAUCCCACAAAAAUGAUUCUAUAAGUAGAACCAUUAUGCAGAAGCAUUUAACUUAAUGAAAUUCUCUCUCUCUCUCUCUCUCUCUCUCUCUCUCUCUCUCUCUAAUAUAUCACACAUGCGCGCACACACACACACACACACACACUUAAAGCCUUCAUUCGUAGCAGCUAGCACUGAGACUGAAGGAAUUUAUUCGUGUGGACUGAGUAGAGGCGUUGUCACCAUUCAACGCUCGUGAUCACUCCUUAGAUCUGCAUCAAAGGUUUCAAUCGCCACAAAAGGUGACAUUUUCUAUCACUGAUUAUGCUCAUUCGUAAGGAUCACUAAAGGAUAAAUUUUAAUUUCCGCUGCAAUUUAGAUUGCAAUGUUCCUUCAAAUUCACCCCUUGUUCUUGUGUAUUUUUCUCACCUUCAGUUGUCAUCAGAGCAUAGUCUGUACUAUUACACUUGACAGUGGUGAAAAAAAAUCUUGAGGAAAAUACAUCAUUCAUCAUGCUUGAUGGUCCUGAAGUAACUAGUCCUAGUAGUCCUAGUGAAGGUACUCCUCGUGGCAAUAAUAACCAUGAUCAAGUACAUCUUAUAUUGCUAGACCACCAAAAUUCAGUGGUAACUCUAUUGAGUUUGAUUUGUGGAAAAGCAAAAUGUACACCCAUAUCAUGUGGCUUGAUGAUGAGCUAUGGUAUAUUCUUAAAUAAGGUAUCAACUUUGAAGUUAAUGGAGUAGAUAUGGUGAUUGAUAAAAAAAAUCUCACAUGCUCAGAAAAAGGCUUAUAUAAAUCAUCAUAGAGUGAGAGGUAUUCUGACGGAAUCUCCACCUCACCCAGAGUACAUAAAUACCAUUGACAAAUCUAUUGCAAAACCACCUUUGAAUCUUUAUGUGCCAUUCAUGAAGGGAAUCAGCAGGUCAGAUAAGCUAAGGUUAAUUUGUUGGUUCAAUGAUAUGAAAUGUUCAUAAUGGAAAUGAUGAGAGUAUUGAAACCAUGUUUUCAAGGUUUUAAAUACCUGUGUAUGGGCUUCAGAUUCUUAAUAAAAGCUACACCACCAUUAAUCAUGUCAAUAAUGUUCUUAUGAGCAUUCCUCUCAUAUACAGACCAAUUGUGACAGCUAUUCAUGAAGUAAAAUCCCUAAACAAAAUCAUUCUUGAAAGUCUGAUAAGUAAUCUCCAGAGUCAUAAGUUAGAACUCAAUGGAUAUGAAUAACCAAUUAAGAAAUCAAAGUCUAUGGCUUUGAAAUCUAUUAGGAGGUCUGAGAGAUCUUUGCAGACUUGGGAGAAAAAUGAAGCCACUCAUGAUGAAGCUUCUGAUGAAGAUUCUAAUGAUUAUGAAAUGACAUUCAUCAUUAGCGACUUAGGGAGUAAAGUUUGGAGGCAAGCCCUACAGAUAGGCAACAACAUGCCUACUAGAACCCAACUGACAAAUUGGCUGGUUUACCACUGGUUGGAUCACAUUAUCCACAAUAACAUCAACAAAAUAGUUUACAACAAUAGCAUCCGUAACCACAACAAUAGCAGGAUUGAGAGAAGUAAAGGUAGUAGCUGAUCGGAAAAAUAGCAAGUGUAUUAUUUUGCCUGUUAUAGUAAUAAAGGGGACAUUCCCUGAAUGUCGAUCUCAAGGACUGCAGCUAAUAUUGAGUUCAAUUUAUCAUUCAAUUAAACAAAAAUUAUAAUUGGGGUUUUUUAAUUCAAAACUAUAAAAAUAAAGACAAAUAAUAAAAAUAAGGGUUUGCAAGGUAUGAGGAACAAUGUCAAGGAAGGUGUGUGAUUUAUCCGUGUAACAACUCUAAGUCAUUAUUGCAUCAACAAAUAUCAAUUACUACCAAUUCUCAAGGGUAUUUUCUCCCAAGUCCUUGGUGAAAAAACCUUUAAUCAUUCUACCCUAAUUUCUAUGUCCAUAGGCAAUUGGGGUGUAUCUUUAGUCCUAGGUGAUAUUUACUGCAGAGUAAUCUUAUGAAAACCUUACCAAUGGCGGUCCAGCCUAAUUGAUAACCAUACAACAAUCUCGAUUGGUCUGAAAGAGAAAGCAUUAAACACAUCAAAAGAUUACCGUAAAAACAAUAUUAUAAAUGGAAUCGUAAACUCAUAGUCAUUACAACUCUAAAUCAGGGAUAUCCCCUGACAUUAGGGGGUUUAGCUACUCAUAUUGUUCAAAACAAAUUCAGGAUAAAAAAUACACAUUACAAGUAAUUGGAUGACUUGGAUCUUCAAUCGCUUCCGCUCAUGAAAACCUUCUGCUCUCUGAAUUCUUUGAUCUUUGUAAUCCUUAUUCCUAUGACAAUUUUGUGUUCGCCUCAUUCCAAUAUCCCCCUUUUUCUAUUGUAUAAACUCUCCUAAUAUAGUGAAAAUCCCUUGGCAGAAGGUGGAAAUCUCCAAAAUGUCCUUGCAGCUUAAGCCCGGUGAAAAAGCCCGAAAACUGGAAAAUUAGCAUUUUAGACUGACACGGGCGGUCGUGUCAGACCACUGUCUUGGGCAUUACUUCUUCUUUCUUGGCCUUCCUCCUGACACGGCCCGUGUCAGGUGACACGGGUGACCGUGUCAGGCCUCCUUGACUGUGAAAUCUUCUUUUUUUGACCGUCAGAACUUUCCACUUUCUCGCAUUGAGUCCGUUGGAUCUUCUCAGUGGACCUGGAGGAUAUAAACACGAAAACCAAAGUGUAAAAUCACGAAAACACAAAAUAAAACUGACAAUUAAUAACAUUGCUUAAAUAACUUACGGGAAUGAGAAUUAACUUUAAAGGUACCAUAAUGCAUACACAGUGUCUCAAAAUCCUUGGUUUCUUGUCGGAUAAGCAACGAAAACAUAGUGAAAAUGGUGAUCAAUCACAACCCGAAACUUAGCUCAUUGCUUGUCCUCAAGUAAUAUCUUAUACGACAAAGUGUCACUUCCCAAAAUUUGUAUUCUAACCAUGAUAUUGUUGAGAUCUUUCACCAACGCCUUCACUCUCCCUUUUAUAGUUCCUGCUUUUCAUAAUGAGUUUUCUGCCGCACUUCCUCAUCGAGGUACCGCUUCACCAGUCAGCUUACAUCACACUCUCACCAAGUCUCUCAGGGUUAAAGUGUUUUCACUCUCAAUUCAGAAUAUGCAAUAUCAACUAAUAAGUUUGAUUAGUUUCUCCUUUCAUAUCAACUACACACAACACAUACUUUUUGAGGUCUUUCAGAUUGUAACAGGGCUUGGGUUAUGGUGUGGUAAAUAUAAACAAAAAGGAAACCAAGUGGUUUUGGGUUCAGAGCCAAUGUUAAUAUUAUUUUCACUGUGUUUUAUUCUUUUCUUUUUCAAUCGCUCAGUUUUUCUUUGAUAUUCUCUAUUCUUUUUUUCAACUGGGUGCUCUUCCUUCGGUGAGUGCUUCUUUCGAACCAUCGACUAUAUUUCAUUUUCUCAAAAAAUUUAUGGUCGAUUUUCUUCUUCUUAUUUUUUUUUCGUGCUCACCUUUGUUUUUGAUACUUAUGGGGUUUACCCCAAACUUAGAAUUUAACACAGCUUAAUAACAUCACAUUGACUCUGAAUAGGGUAAGGAAGUGUUUUGGGCCGCUGGGUUACAUUUAUGUGGUUAGACAAACAAAGGGUACAGGCUCAAAUGGGGUUAACAAAGGAUAACAUUAACGAGAUGGCUAGAAAGGCUCAGGGCUAUAAUCAAACAACGUGCCUUAAUGUGUGUAUACAUGAAGUGAAACUCCUAGAGAACCUACGUAAAAUCAGAGUGAUAAAGACAUACCUGAAUAUCACUCAUGAUGACAAAUGUGUUUGGCUUUUUAUGCACUCACCAUGUUAGGUAAAGCUUGACAGCAUCCACAAUACUUCGAGUAUGGUGCGAUUUUUUACUCAACUCGGAAUGCACAGGGAACCUACGUUAGUUGAGCUUUAGAAAUUGCGUCCGAUCUUUUCUUCAGCAGUAUCGACUUUCUAGGAAGAUCCUUCACAACAAGCAAUAGUAAGUGGAGUGAUCAUUUCAUCCACUACCACUAUUGAUCAUUACCUCACCCAACUAUAAAUACAUGCAACACAUGAUACCCAACAAUAAAAAUAAACCAAAUGUGAACGGUAAAAAUUGGUAACUAAUCAAAUAUAACAUAAAACAAAACAAAAAUAAAUGCAAAAAGCAUAGGAAAACCUCCCCCACACUUUAACUAAACAUUGACCUCAAUGUUUUAGAACAUAAUAGAAUGAGGGUGACUCAUAGUGCCUCACUGAGGGGGGCUGGGGCGAAGAGUGCAACAUGCCCAUACGAAAUUCAAAUUUUCCAAACAAAUUUCAAAUCUACAGGCCUGACACGGGCGGCCGUGUCAGGCCACUCUCUCUUCUCUUGGUUGGGCGUAGCCUUCAGUAUUCCUGACACGAGCCGUGUCAACUGACAUAGAUGGUCGUGUCAGCUAACACGGGUGGCCAUGUUAGACUGCUGUUCUGCUCAUUUUUUUCAACUUUUUCCAUGUGGGUACCUUUUCCCUUUUAUGCAAGGCAUUGUGCAAACCUAAGAUACCAAACAAACACAAACAAUAACUAGAAAUAGAAACACGUGGGUUGCCUCCCAUAAAGCGCUUCAUUUAACAUUGCAUGGCUCGACGAUUCAUUCCCCUUGUUAUGGGGGGUACUUCAGCCUCCAAACCUUGUUGCAUCUCUUGUCCAAAACUAGGAAGUUGUCUCUUUCAUCAGUAUGGAUUCAUUUGUGCUACAAGUCCUUUUUAACCUUACCUUGUUUUCGUUUUCUUUUCUUUCUCUUGGUUUUUGGAAUGGAGAUGGGAGUCUUUCCAAUCAGGGUGGCUAAUGGAAGUGGUGAGAGUCGAGAGGGCCUUCUUGUAUCUUUCUCUAAUGUUGGUAUGUUAAUUUGCCUUCUCCCCUCUGUCCUGAUUAAGCCUACUUGAUAGUGAGAUUUUGUAUCUUCCUCUAGCUUCUGGUCUUCAAAAACAUUCAAUGUUAUCUCUUUGUCGUGAGCUUUCAAGGUUAACGUGCCCUGGUCCAUGUCGAGAUUACAUCGACUUGUCUGCAUGAAAGGUCGACCCAGAAUGAUGGGUGCCUCAUCAUCUUCAGGUAUGUCCAGGAUUACAAAAUCAACCAAAAAACUCAAGUCCUUUAUUGUUACCAGUACGUCUUCUGCUAUAGCAUAUGCAUCCUUUCUCGAGUGAUUCGUAAACUUCAAAUUUGUCUUUGUAUUACUGACAUUUUUAAUACCUAACCUAUGAUAGAUUGAUAAUGGCAUCAAACCCACACUAGCUCCAGAAUCUAUUAGUGCCCUUUUGAAGGUUCUUCCUUUAAUUGUGCAUGGUACUAUUACUAUUCCAGGAUCCUUCUAUUUGUUUGGAAUUUUCUGCUCUAGUGAAUAUGCACUAUACUUUUCCUUCCAGGCUACCAGUUCUUCUGCUGUUGGUUUCUUUUCGACCAUUACCUCUUCCAUGAAUUUCUUGUACAUGUGCAUUCUCUCGAGUGUUUCAAACAAAGACAUAUGACCCUCUACCUUUUUAAACAUUGUCAUGAAAAUCUCAAAGUCUGACUCGCUUGGUUCCUUCUUUGUCACUCUUAGAGGAUGGGGGCAACUUAAUCGCCGAUUUAGUCUCCUUUUUAAUUUCCUCUUCUGUUGGCUUGCCAUGUGGUAUAACUUUUUCCUUUUUAGCGACCUUUUUCUUUUUCGUCAUGAUAGUACAAAUAUUCUCCCGAUUUCUUGGAUUUUGACCUGUUUCACUUGGUAAGGAACCUAGUGUUCGAGAACUUGCUAGUUGUUGUGCUAUUUGAUCCAGUUGAACUUCAAGAUUCUUUAUAGAGGCAGUGUUGUUUUUAUAAUUAUUUAUAGUCUCUUCUUGGAAUUGCAGACAUUAAGCGAUCAUAUUUUCAAUGGCAAUCUCCCAGUCUGCUUUCUUUGGAGCUUGUUAUGGUUGAUAUUGAGUCUGAUAUUGACCUUGACCUUAAUAUGGAACAUUCCCUCUCUGAUCAUUCCAUGAGAAGUUUGGAUGAUUUUUCAAACUUGGAUUGUAAGUGUUGGAGUAAGAAUUAUUCUGAUUUAAAAAUUUUAUCUCUUCAAUUUGUUGAGGAGUUGCAAAGCAAUACACAGUGUGGUGAGGUCCAUUACAGAUUUCACACGUGAUGGUCUGAGCAGAUUGAAUUUGAGCUACUUGUUCAGUACCUAUAUUCAUUGCUUUCAAUUUCUUCUUGACUUCAGCAGCAAUUGUAUCUUCCAAACAGAUUUUAUUUGCUUUUACUUUCAGGUCAAUGACUCCUUCAGGUUUGCUUGUACACCUAUCAUAUAAUUCCAGAUGCUCAUUUGCGGCUAUCGCUUCAAUGAUUCUUUUAAUAUCGGCGGCUGUUGAGAAAUUUGUUGAGCCACUGAUUGUUGUAUCAAUUAACUGUUUUGUCUUUAUUUUCAAAAACCAUUGACAAACAUUUGCAUUUGUUCAGUCUGAUCCAUAUUAUAAGUUGGGCACGCUACCAUGACCCUUUUGAAUCUUUUGUAGGUAUCUUCCAAAGACUCACCAUCUUUCUGUUUGAAGUUCAAGAUUUCAUACCUUUUUCUCAAAAAUACUAAUGCGGGAAAAUACUCAUUUAAGAAAGCUGAUUCCAUCUCUUCCCAUGAUAUAAUAUUGUCAACUGGAAGAGAGUAUAACCACUCUUUCGCCUCUUCAGAUAAAGUAAAUGGGAACAUUCUUAAGUUCUUUGCUUCAUCAGUAUGACCAUCAAUUUUCAAAGUAGUACUCAUUGUUAGGAAUCUCUAUAGGUGCUUGUUGGCAUCUUCAUUAACCUUUUCGGUGAAAGAUUUUCUCUCAAGUCGAUUGAUUGUGCUAGGAUGCAGUUGAAAGUUCUUCACAUUCACCGGUUGGUUGACAAUGGUCAAUCUACCACCCGGUGCAUUUGCCCCUCCAUAGUCACCUAUGAGUCUUUCCCGAGGUGGAGGCGGUGGAACUGGAGGAAUUUCAGCCAUAGUUUCUUUUUCUGAAUUUGAGUGAUCAGAGAGAACUUCUUCUUUGGAAUCCAAUCUAGCGUUUCUACGUCUCCGGUGAAGGGUUCUCUCAAUUUCUGUGUCAAAAAGAAAUUCUGCUGAGGGCUCUCCUCGCAUACACAAAUUAGUGAAUGAAAAUAUAUAAAUAAUAGAAAAAUAAUUUUAUUGCAGAGUAACAAAAUUUUAAUUGAACUUAAAAUUAAACUCUAUAUUUUGGCAGUCCCCGGCAACGACGCCAAAAACUUGAUUGGAAAAAUAGCAAGUGUAUUAUUUUGCCUAUUAUAGUAAUAAAGGGAAAAUUCUUCGAAUGUCGAUCUCAAGGACUGCAAGCUAAUAUUGAGUUCAAUUCAUGAUUCAAUUAAACAAAAAUUCUAAUUGGGGUUUUAAAUUCAAAAUUAUAAAAAUAAAGGCAAAUAAUAAAAAUAAGGGUUUGCAAGGUAUGAGGAACAAUGUCAGGAAACGUGUAUGAUUUAUCCAUGUAACAACUCUGAGUCACUAUUGCAUCAACAAAUAUCAAUUACUACGAGUUCUCAAGGCUAUUUUCUCCCAAGUCCUUAGUGAGAAAACCUUUAAUAAUUAUACCCUAAUUUCUAUGUCCAUAGGCAAUUAGGGUGAUGUUAAGCUUUAUUAUAUCAAGAAUACUCUGAUUCAUACAGGGUAUCUCUAGUCCUACGUGAUAUAUACUGCAAAGUAAUCUUAUAAAAACCUUACCAAUGGCGGUCCAUCCUAAUUGAUAACCAUACAAUAAUCUUGAUUGGUCUGAAAGAGAAAGCAUUAAACACAUCAAAAGAUUACCAUAAAAACAAUAUUAUAAAUGGAAUCGUAAACUCAUAGUCAUUACAACUCUAAAUCAGGGAUACCCCCUAGCAUUGGGGGGUUAGCUACUCAUAUUGUUCGAAACAAAUUAAGGAUAAAAAUACACAUUACAAGUAAUUAGAUGAUUUGGAUCUUCAAUCGCUUCCGCGCAUGAAAACCUUCUGCUAUCCGAGUUCUUUGAUCUCUGUAACCCUUAUUCGUCUAGCAAUUAUGUGUUCGCCUCGUUCUAAGAUCCCCCUUUUUAUAUUGUAGAAACUCUCAUAAUAUAGUGAAAAUCCUUUGGCAGAAGGUGGAAAUCUCCAAAACGUCCCUGCAGCUUAAGCCCGGUGAAAAAGCCUGAAAAUUGGAAAAUUAGCGUUUUGGACUGACACUGGCCGUGUCAGACCACUGUCUUAAGCAUUACUUCUUCUUUCUUGGCCUUCCUCCUGACACGGCCCGUGUCAGGUGACACGGGUGGCCGUGUCAGGCCUCCUGAAUUGUGAAAUCUUAUUUUUUCGAUCGUCAGAGCUUUCCACUUUCUCGCAUUGAGUCUGUUGGAUCUUCUCCGUGGACCUGGAGGGUAUAAACACGAAAACCAAAGUGUAAAAUCACGAAAACAAAAAAUAAAACUGACAAUUAAUAACAUUGCUUAAAUAACUUACGGGAAUGAGAAUUAACUUUAAAGGUACCAUAAUGCGUACACAAUGUCUCAAAAUUCUUACUUUAUUGUCGGAUAAGCAACGAAAACAUUGUGAAAAUGGUGACCGAUCAGUAGCCUUCUGAGCUUGAAGGUACUCCAAUAUGGUGUUCAUGUUACUUUGGAAGGUAUCCAUUUUAUUUUGGAACUGAGUCAAGGUUUCCCUAUAGGUACCAUUCUUUUGUUCCAUAUCUGCCAUAAUUCUCGAUUUGUUAGCAUUCGUGAAGUAUUGGUGUUGAAGAGUUGUUGUCUUUUUGUUUGGGGAAAUGACAAGGUGAGCUCUUUCUGAUUGAUAGACAUGAAAUGCAAAUGCAUGAAUGCACAUGAUGGAGAUAGAAUGAAAAUAAUUAUGAGAAUGCAAUGCAAUAAUGAAAUGCAAUAAUGUAUGUCAAUAACACAAGAUAAUCCAGAUAAUCUGCAUAUACUCCCUAAUGCAGAAUCAAAAGUCUGAUGCCCAUGAGAAUAAGGUAUGUAUAGUCUAUGAGUUCUUGUAGAAAAACCCAUAUCCCCAUCACAGGUAAGUUCUAGUCUUCAGAAGGUAGUUCGUAAAAGGUCCCCUAUAGUCAUCGACUCAAAAUGAAAAUACCCUGUCGUAGCAAAUUCUCGCAGAAAAAAGUACUUCCAAGUGAAUCUAGUCUGGAUGUGGUCAUCGUGACAACUCAAUGCACGAAACACAGGUGUACACGACUAUCCACGGGUCUAUCAUAUGUAUGUACUCAGCUCAGGUGUAGAGCUUCACUCAUGUAACAUCACCCUAACCCAACAGAAAGUAUAUUAGAUAUUAAGUAUAAAUAAUAUCUAAAGCAAUAAAGAAGGCGAUAAAUAAAGCGAGUAAAGCAUGGAGAUAAACACCUAGAGUAAGCUAAGAAAGUAAAAUAAAACUAGGCUCAACUCCUUUUAGCGACUAGGAAGCAUUCCAAGUAGCAAAAUCUCCCCAGCAGAGUCGUCAGCUGAAGCUAGCAGAAAUAUACCCGAACACAUCGCACGCUUGAAGAUAUAACAUAAUCGCCAUCAAACUUUAUUUAUUCCCGAAGGAAAGGGAAAACAUAUAUAAAACCCAAGAAAAGAGAAAAUUGGGUGAGGGAGUCGGUUAUCUGAGGGAAAAGUAUUACCACCCCUCAUAUUCAUUGUACUCAACGGGAACCGUUUGUACUGUUCUUGCUCGAACGGGUGUGAUAUCUGAAGAUUACUCGCGAAAGAAUAACGAUAAAGGAAAAUAAUAAAUAAAGUUCUCGGUGAGGAUUAGAGCCCCCAUGCCUACAUAUCCUUAUAGAUUCAUAGCUUCGUAGUUCAUAAAACUAAUGGUAUGAGGUGAAAAGAGAUUGUGAUCAAGGUAUGGUCUGAACCAAAGGAUUAUACGAUUUGAACUCCAACAAGGCGUGAACCAUAUAUGGGAUAGCCGGAAGCAUGGUGCCACUAUAUGGUAUUGCCGAAAACAAAGAGAAUUAAGUAUUUGGUUUCACAACACAAACAACUCUUGGUUUACAAGAUGACACAAGAUGAAGCUCAAAUAGAUAGUAUAUUUGGCUAAAAGAGAACAAUAUAUCAUAUGAAGUGAAUGGAGGUAGAAUAUGAAUGCAUCAUGGAGAUGAAUGGAAUUAAUAGAGAAAAAUAACUACAGUAAAAGAAAUGAAGGAUUUGGUAAAAGUGAUUGGAUGGUAUAAUUUGGAACCAAAGGUAAGGGUGUAUUGGAAUCCAAAGGUAGAAUGAUACUUGAUCUCAAAAAUAUGGUAUUGAUUUAAUGGAGAAAUAAUAGAUAAGAUAGAAAUAAAUAAGGUAGCUCGUGGAGAAUCUGAAUUAUCAUGCCUACAUAUUCUCACCAUACAAUGGGAAAGUCAGAGCUUUCGUAGUUCAGCCCACUAGGGCUAACAGUAAGAGACCGGGGCAAGAUAAAUGGUAUGUUGAUAUCUAGGGUACAUAACCCUUUUAGGAAGAAAGAAAGGAUGCCAAGGUUCACAACCUGUUAGGCAAGGAAUCACUACCAGGGUCUAUAACUUUUAAUGGAAAGGAACUAAACUGCCAAAGUCUAUAACCCAAAAGGCAAAGAGAGAGGAUGCCAUAGUCCAUAACUCUCAAGGCAAAGGAAAGAACUACCAAGGUCCAUAACCUGAUAGGCAAGGGGAUUUCCAAGAGUCUAUAACUAUGCAAGGUUACUCAAAGGGAUCGUCAAAGUCCAUAACCAAGUGCCAAAGUCUAUAACUUCAUAAGCACGGAAAGAACUAGCCAAGGUCCACCACCUUUUGGGGAAAAUAAAUAUUUCCAAUGUAUACCACUUUAAAGGCAAGGAUAUGAAUUCUCUAUUCUCACCAUUCUUUGUUUCUUAAGGCUCAUAGCAUACAACUUAAAACAAAAUUGAUAAGUUAUUGGUAGGAGAUCCUGAGUGUUGAUCUUGUUGAAAAAAACUUGACAAUCAUAGAAUUUGAAUUUUGCUAAAGUCUAUGAAUAGAGGUGAGUACAAUGAGUAACUGGGUCAUUUGUCUUGUACCCAAAGAUAUUCAGAAUGAGUUAAUGGAAUUCUCCAAUCUCAUUCAUUCUCUAUUUCUUAAGGCUCGUGCCACAUAAUUUAAAUUAUGAUUGACAAGUGUUGACCUUUGUUGUACUUGAGAGGUAAUCCACUUUGUCAAUUAUAUUUGAUUGAUGUUGAAUUUGAAGUCUUGAUCUUGCAUUUGAACCUUGAGGUCUUGAGCUCUUAAGAUUCGACAUAUCCAAAAUAGCUCGAGCAUAAUUGACUCUCUGUAUCAAGUGAUUAAGGAUCUUUUGAUCACUUGAAUAGGCUUGGGGUUACAACAUAAUACAAAGGAUUUGGUUGACCAAAGUGACCUUUGGUCAACACUAAUAAUUGGGAUUGAAAAUAAUAGUUGAAUUAAGUACACAAUAAACCUAUUGAAUUAAUCAACUAAAUAAAAUCAAACAAUUCUAAUUGAACCCCUAAGUUAAGGGAUCAUACAAAAAAUCAAUAUUUCUAUAGGGUCUAUAACAAUAAGCUACUUACUUUUGAAGAGUCCGUUCAUGUUUCUUUUGAUGAGUCUUUUCCAAAAUAUGUUAGGAAGGGUAUGUCUUUUCAUGAUAUAGGUGUGUCUUCGUAUGACAUUCUCAAUGAAGUCGAUGAAGGGAUUGAUCAACCUCAAACGGAUGAAAGUGAGAAAGUAGAAGAUGAUGGUCACAAAGAGGAAAAUGAGGGGAGUCCAACUGCAGUAGAUAACCUUCCUUUGUCUUGGAGAACAUCUGUCAUACCCCAAAAUUUGCCCGUUGGCAUUACCAAACAUUUUCCAAGACCCUCUGACUUGUUCUGCAAGGCACCGGUAUCAAAUGGACAAAAGCCCACUCACAGGCGGCCCAAUCCACAGGCGGCCCAAAACAUCUGGCUCGCUAGGCGAGUAGCUCCUUCGCCUAGCGAACAUUUCAUCAUGUCCCUCGCCCAGCGAAGCAUUGGAUCCAGGAAAAAGCCCAGACCUAGUUUUCUAGUUUGCUCGCUAGGCGAGCAAUUCCUUCGCCUAGCGAAGCUUGCGAAGUUUGAGAUUUUUGGACCUCAUUUUAAGCCCAUUAGGUCACCACUACCUCUACUAUAAAUACCUACUUCUCUGCACGAAAAGAAGACACGGAGACGGACGAAGACGGACGGAAACACGCCAGAGGAUGACAUCUUAUUGACCUUGUCCAGACAGAGUGACACCGUGGAACCACCCCUGCUGAUUCCCAAAACUGAAAUACUCCCGUAGAACACUUGGAUGCGGAUAACGGCCAUGGAGCGCCAGCGGAUUACCGGCACAAUCCAGAAUGCUAAGUCCGGUCGCCCAAUUCAAGUCCGGGGGCCUUCAUGCGGCAGGACUUUCGCAGGUGUGUUGUUCUUAUCUUUUUAACUUUUAUGGUCUGUCCUGGCUGCAAGUAGUUACGGUUUAUAUUGGCAGUAUGAUGGGUCAUUUCAGUCUUUGUGUCCUUCACCUUUCUUGCAAGUGCAAUGUGGUGUUACGAUAGGACCUUUUGACGCUAUCCCUCUAAUGGUGUCACACAUUUAGGUGAUAGUGAAACACGCUUUUUAAUCUUGUACUCUCGGAUGGUAGAGUUGGGCACUCAUGAGAGAUACCAACUUCAUGUCUUAUAAGUGUCUCGGGAUGUGCGUGGAGUCUCAUCACCAGAGAUUGUGAAUUCUUCACUACCAACCGGUUAUUGAAUAGGUCUUAUGGCACCUAUGGAUGAACCUCGUAUAAACUAUGAGCUGGUUGCCGCUAUGCUGAAACUUGAAACCCAGUUAUAACCUAAAUGAUUGUGUAUUGCAAAGCCUGGCUACGGCAGGUUCUGAGGAGGCAGGUAUGAUUAUUUGAGUAGGUUCCUGAUCAAAUGUCAAUAUCCCCGUGGCCCGCGGGCUCCGCUACGCUUCAUUCGCUUAGUUUCGGAGUCCUCUGCAGGGUCGCAGCUGUCAGGGUCGAGCGAAUGAGGAGUCACGAUAUACCGCAUAGGCGGGAUCGAGGGGCAAAUGGCGACGGCGGCUUGAUUGGGGUCUGUCUUUUGUUGACUGGUUUUUUCCUGCUUGCCACAUAUGUCAUGAUGUUACAUCCAUAGUAGAGCUAUUCAUGAUUUCUGUGGCGUUAUUUUCGUUAACAUAUUCCUGGGCGGUGUUGGAUAUUUAUUGUUAUGGGGUUCAAUUUUUGGCCAGUUGUAAUUUUAAGCUGACUUGGAUCUUACUCGUCCGAACAACAAACAUACGGUAGGAUCCAAGCGGAGAGGAUAUGGACAGAUUGAGAGCUCGGGGAGGUGUGUACAAUAGUAUGGCCAAACUGAAAAUCGCAUACUUAUCUAUAUGGUUAAGUAGGUGCAAUGAUUUAUCUAGGACCCAGGGAUAAUUAGUAAGCGACACAAUACACGACCGUCUGAGGCAGAGAUCUACCUAGAUUUAGUGUCACAUAUUCUUCUGGAUUGUGUUGUUGGGGCUAGGCGAGCCCAGAACAGACAUAAGCACCAGGGAUCAGCCCCUGAGCCCGGUCCCGCCGCUCUGCUUCGCCUAGCCCUGCAUUAGGUCGUUUUCAGACGGUGCCAAGGGAAGCCUCACGUAUGGUCAGCUUGGCACGGGGCAGGCUGCACGCUAGCCGCACUAUGAGGCCUAAGCAUGGGUGUUCGAGUCGGUUUUCCACCGCGAGUUUCGGGUGAACAUUUGAAGAACACAAUUCUAUAUACUUCCCACCGAUGUCUAUCCUGAACUGCACGAAAUGUAGGGGGCUUAUGGCAUCCAACAUAAUGAUUAUCGGCUUCAGUUUCCACACAAUAGGCCAAAAUACACAUCUUUAAUUCUCGAUCGCCACAGACUUCCAACAUGUUUAUGAACUGUCAUAAAUAUCCACAAAUAAGAACAUGAAAGGUGGUUUAUCAGUUAUACUUGCUGGCAAUAUGUAUUAGUUUUACUUCUUGUAGAUCGAUCCUUUCUUACCCAGGCCAUCAAAUUGGUAGGUGAGUUUAGCUUUACUAAGGUGGAGUACCCAAGUGUUUAGCAAACAUAUGCAAAAAUUACCUAGCCUGACAGGCACAGAGGGAUGGAGAUCUAAUCCAUUCGAAUGCCAAUUACUGAAGAGCGGACAAACUCUAAAGGCUGAGACAGUGCUAAGUCACUAAUUAACUCGCCAAUAUCCUGCGGAGUCUGGUCGAAGCGGACCUCCCGGAUCUGAAUAUGCGCGCCGAUAUCCGAUUUAUAGUCGGGUUCCCUACCAUUCGCUAUGUCGUCAAGGCGUUGUACGCCUCUAGGCGUUCAUGGGUUUUUCUUCCCUCGUUUCUGGUCGAGUAAAUAACGCACACGGUUGCGUGGCUAUUGGGAUUCAGCAGUGGUUGCCUUUCGUUGUUUUUCUGUCUUCUCCCGGCCUGCGAGUUUUGCUGUCUGUUGCCGUAUACUGGCGGCAUCUAUCGUGCUGGUUCGCGUACUCUGCUGGGGCUGACAUCCUUGAGUGUCCUCUACAUUUUCUGUGGGGCCAUUCUGAUGAAAGUAGCGUGAUUCCAUCAUUAUGUUCCCUGAGAGGUAGAGUUCUGCUUGGCCUUAUGGCAACCUAUACGCGGCUUAAAAUGAGGCUUGCAUCCUAACUGUAUUAUCAAAUAUCUGAGUCAAGACAAGCUGGGUGCGCUAUACUGGCCACGACAGGAAUUGCUGAAUGCCCUUAACUCUCUGCACUAGCUGAGGAAAAUUCAAAAAAUCUUGGGCCUUUCUAUCCUAUUUAACAUUGAGAGUAGACUCAAUGCUGGGGUUCAUGGGCCACCGACGCGUUUAACGAUGGUAGCGGUCCAUGAUGCACAUGUUAUACGCAAAUUUAGGCGGCAUUACGGAGCUACUCCGGUUACUAAGGCAGCAGGGGCACAAGUCUGAUUAUUUGGGCCCGUCUGUCGGUAUUGGGCCUACGUCUGCGUACCGGGAGUGGCGCGUGCUUUAUCCUUGUCUCAUUUUACCUAUCUGUGUAUCCGUGAGUGCAAAGGGACAAAUUUGGCAUGAACAAGUGGCAGUUUAUUUGAGGAUGUUCGGCUUAUUGAGUAUUGAAAUGGGUCUAGAGUAGUCAAUUAAGUGCUGUAACUAGGUCAGGAUAAUUAAGGAUCUUUGGCGGUUAAAUAGUAGACUAGAUUGGGUUUCGGACGUGGGCAUAAAUAGACAAGGAACGUAAUCUUUACUGCUAUGUUGGACUCUGGUUCUCGUCUGCAUUUUCCAUUCGGAUAUUGAUAAGACCAUCAAUCUUACAUGAUUUCAUUUCAUUGGACACUCUAUCUAUUUGCCGUUUGGAGAGGUUUGUAUUGGAAAUGAUAUACUUCUGGUUCUCAUCGAACAUAAUAUAUGAGUGUAAUAUGUCAUAUGUCGACGACACAAUUGGGUCCUAUAUCGGAUUGUGGAAUGGAAAAAUAGACAUACCUUUUUCUCGGAACAUAAAUGUGUUUUAGUGUAUCAAAGACAUUGGGUGGGAUAUGUGAAAAAAAGUAGUUAUAGAAAUGUGAAAUCGGAAUCUUUCAUAACAAGUAAUGCUAAAGGGCGGCGUUAUUUGUGAUGAAUGAUAUAUAGAGAUCGGCUAAAUAUGUACCGCAUUGAGUCGGAAUGAAGUGUAAAUUGUAUGAUAUUUGAUAAUGUAUCCUGUAAUCUAUGAAAGGGUUGUAUUCAGAAUUCACGAAUCUGUGGGUGAUGGAUUUAUUUGAUGAUAUUUGGAUUAUAAUUAUUUGUUUUUCAAGUAAGUGUGGUUUAAUAUGUGUUGUACAUUAAGGGUUCAACAUUUGAUAAUAUUCUAACAUCAGCACCGUAAUGUAUAAUUUUAAAUGGUUGCGAUUUUAGUGAUGCGAAUGUUCAAAGAGGAUUAGCGGGUAAUUAGGUAAUGCCAAAAUCCUUUGUUUAAUAGUUUUGCUCGUAAUAUGUAUUAGCGCCCAUAUUAGUGUCACUUCAUUCAUUUGGGAUGCCGCCCCAUCAUAUAUGGUGGUUCAAAGCGUUGAAAACCCUAUAAAGAUGGUCUUCACAUGAGAUAUUUCCUUGAUACAGACUUGCUCCUUAAUUGAAAUAGCGUAGCAGAAACGUUGAUGGAUGUAGCAUCUGGAAUUAAAUGUCUCAGACGCGGCUAGUUUAUAAUAUGACGUCUUAAGUUCCGCUGAAAUCUUUAUAGAAGACUACUAAGAGCCCGGUAGCAGACGAUUCCCUUCCAGAAUUUCAAAUGGAUACUAAAGGAUCAAGGACUUCUUAGGAUAUUCAAAUCAGAACAUCAAUCAAUUUGAGAUAAGUAUGCAUACAAAAAGUGGAUUAUAUAUACCGAUUACGUCGCUCAAGCAUAAAACCGUUAACAAUGGAGUUUCACUAUAAUUCGACUUGAAUAGUAAUCGCUAGUGUUACAUUGUGUUCUAACGAUUAAUUGUUGAGCACAUACCGGAGCCUAUAAAGCGGGAAGAAAUAGAAAAAGUGAUUGGGAGGAUUGGAGAAUCUCAUCACUAACUUCUAUAGUUGUGUAAUACUCCUCUUUGGGUACAAGACAAAUGACCCAGUUACUCAUGACAUUUUAUUCGCAUUCAACGCAGUCUUCUCCUAAUUUUGUCCUUCACAUAUUGAGAUCAACGUUAAACUGGUAUAGGUCAUAAGAUGAAUUAUCGAUGAAAAUCUAUUCUAGAAUUGAGUGUGUGAUUGGCAUUGGUUUUUUUCAACAAGAUCUCAACACUUGGUAAUGACUUUUGGAGAUGUGAUCUGCAAGCUACCAAUAUAACAUUCGUUAGCUCAAAAAUUUUAUAUAUAUAACCACUGGUGAUAAUGUACGUAUUGAUAGAGCCUUAACGAGAGCAACGAAUGGUGUAAUGAAUGUAUGAUGAACUUUCAUAUCCUUGGGGAUUUAAAUAGUGAUUAUUAGACAUUUGAGGAAAUUUAUUCACUCCUCUUUGACUCCCUUAAUAUAAUAUUGUGCUUGGUGAAAACCAUUUGAGCUAAAAAAUGUUUUCUUUCAGUUGUCUUAUUAAUAGUUUUAUAUUAUACGAUGUCUUUAUUGGAACUGUGUGUGUAUCGAUUCACUUUAAUUGUGGUGACUUUGAUUCGAUUACAUUCGCUCGCUUUUGGAACGUUAAUAAUACCUCUUUCGCACUAGAUUUUGAUCUCACCCUGUUACUCUUCUUGGUAGAAAUCUGUUCACCUCUGCCUAUCAGGUAUGUGGACCUACAUGGGUUUAUGGUAGUUUCUUUCCUUGGGCGCCGUCUUAGUAGCUCAGUGUAUGCGAAACGUUUAAGUGGCAACUGGCCUGACGUCAAGUGGUACUCGGUAUGUCGCUUUUACUUGGGUGGAUAUUUAAGAGUUUGAAGACCUUGUUUAGGCUCAUGUUUAGUCCUUUUCGGUCAUUUAAGAAAACUUAUUAGAACGCUAUCUGGUAAGGUUUCAGAAUGUCUCCCUUGCCUCUAAACAGGGUCAAUUGUGUCAACCCUAUACGGCGAGUUACCUUGGGUAGCUAUCGUUGACCAUCAACCAAAAGAGUGCUGAUAUGUUACCACUACGGAUUAUCGAAUUCUAAUAUAUAUUGAAACAUCAGAUAUUAGAUAUGUAGACCAUCGACGGACAUGACAUAACAUUUGUUAGGCUGGACAUACACUCGUAUAGGAAGGGAGCAUGGUAUUUCGAAUCAUCGAAGCUCUUGAUUCUUCUCGCGGGCGAAGACGUGGCACAGAUAUGCUUGGAAUAUACAUUGAGAGAACUGAGAUAUAUUAUUUCAAAAAUUGUACCCAGGCUGUAAUCUAGACGUAUGCCAUGAAUGAUUUUAUGUGUUAUCUGAAUUAGUCUACUUUAUUUCUUUCACAUAUCAGAUACUCGAGAAUGUAGACGACCCCUUUUGUUUAAUGUUACGUUUUCUAUGUUAGCACCUCGAAGUAUAUCAAGUUUCGUUAAAUAUUUCUGCGGAUUGUAGAAAGAGAGUUCGCAAUGAUUACCAUAAUAGUACAGAGCAUGGCGACCAGCCUAUUCGGGUUUGGUGUUGCGAAAAUUAUAGGUACAUCGAACGACAACGUCAAGACCUUUUACCAAAUCGCUUUCAUUUCUUUAUCUGUAAGGGUUUUUUUAUUCUUCUAUUCAAUUACAUCAACUCCAUGAUAGCAAUUGGUCAUAUCUAACCUCAGCAUUCAGCUCAAUAAGGCAUAAUUCGUUCCGUCCGCGUCUUUCUCAUAGGGCCAGAUCUAACAAUCUAUUGAAGGCUUCAUCGUUCGUGCUCAUAUUUAGUUCAAACAUCCAAUAGGUUUUGGUAUAUGAAUCUAGGUGAAGAACGAACAUANGCAAAGAGAGAGGAUGCCAUAGUCCAUAACUCUCAAGGCAAAGGAAAGAACUACCAAGGUCCAUAACCUGAUAGGCAAGGGAUUUCCAAGAUCAUAACUAUGCAAGGUUACUCAAAAGGGAUCGUCAAAGUCCAUAACCAAGUGCCAAAGUCUAUAACUUCAUAGCACGGAAAGAACUAGCCAAGGUCCACCCACCUUUGGGGAAAAUAAAUAUUUCCAAUGUAUACCACUUUAAAGGCAAGGAUAUGAAUUCUCUAUUCUCACCAUUCUUUGUUUCUUAGGCUCAUAGCAUACAACUUAAAACAAAAUUGAUAAGUUAUUGGUAGGAGAUCCGAGUGUUGAUCUUGUUGAAAAAAACUUGACAAUCAUAGAAUUUGAAUUUGCUAAAGUCUAUGAAUAGAGGUGAGUACAAUGAGUAACUGGGUCAUUUGUCUUGUACCCAAAGAUAUCAGAAGAGUUAAUGGAUUCUCCAAUCUCAUUCAUUCUCUAUUCUUAAGGCUCGUGCCACAUAAUUUAAAUUAUGAUUGACAAGUGUUGACCUUUGUUGUACUUGAGAGGUAAUCCACUUUGUCAAUUAUAUUGAUUGAUGUUGAAUUUGAAGUCUUGAUCUUGCAUUUGAACCUUGAGGUCGUUGAGCUCUUAAGAUUCGACAUAUCCAAAUAGCUCGAGCAUAAUUGACUCUCUGUAUCAAGUGAUUAAGGAUCUUUUGAUCACUUGAAUAGGCUUGGGGUUACAACAUAAUACAAAGGAUUUGGUUGACCAAAGUGACCUUGGUCAACACUAAUAAUUGGAUUGAAAAUAAUAGUUGAAUUAAGUACACAAUAAACCUAUUGAAUUAAUCAACUAAAUAAAAUCAAACAAUUCUAAUUGAACCCCUAAGUUAAGGGAUCAUACAAAAAAUCAAUAUUUCUAUAGGGUCAUAACAAUAAGCUACUUACUUUUGAAGAGUCCGUUCAUGUUUCUUUUGAUGAGUCUUUUCCAAAAUAUGUUAGGAAGGGUAUGUCUUUCAUGAUAUAGGUGUGUCUUCGUAUGACAUUCUCAAUGAAGUCGAUGAAGGGAUUGAUAACCUCAAACGGAUGAAAGUGAGAAAGUAGAAGAUGAUGGUCCAAAGAGGAAAAUGAGGGGAGUCCAACUGCAGUAGAUAACCUUCCUUUGUCUUGGAGAACAUCUGUCAUACCCCAAAAUUUGCCCGUUGGCAUUACCAAACAUUUUCCAAGACCCUCUGACUUGUUCUGCAAGGCACCGGUAUCAAAUGGACAAAAGCCCACUCACAGCGCCCAAUCCACAGGCGGCCCAAAACAUCUGGCUCGCUAGGCGAGUAGCUCCUUCGCCUAGCGAACAUUUCAUCAUGUCCCUCGCCCAGCGAAGCAUUGGAUCCAGGAAAAAGCCCAGACCUAGUUUGCUCGCUAGGCGAGCAAUUCCUUCGCCUAGCGAAGCUGCGAAGUUUGAGAUUUUUGGACCUCAUUUUAAGCCCAUUAGGUCACCACUACCUCUACUAUAAAUACCUACUUCCUGCACGAAAAAGAGGACACGGAGACGGACGAAGACGGACGGAAACACGCAUCCAGAGGAGAAACACAGGAACCCUGCUGAUCCAAAGAGUUCCGAAGGCGGAAACCCUGAACCGCUUACCCACUCCGAAGCUAUCGUCGCCCAAUUCAAUCCGCUCGCCAAUCCAGGUUUGCAUUAUUAUUGUCGCUUUAGUUUCUAUUGGCAUAUGAUUAUCUAUUUGUGUCCUUAUUUUGCAUGUGGUACCACUUUAGUAUCUUAAUUUGCAUGUGAUCGUUUUGUACUCUCAUUUGGCAUAUGUACCACUUCAUGUUCUUAAUUGUGGAUUAUAUUGAAUUCAUAAACAUUUUGAGUCUUGCAUGAGAAUUUAAAUGUGUUUGCCUAUUGUGAAACUGAACCGUAUAAUCAUAUGUUGGAUGCCAUAAGCCAUGCUGCAGGGUUGAAGUUAAUAAUGUCCAAAUGUCAAAACCGUGGCCGCUCGCUAGCUCAUCGCUAGCGAGCCCGCAGCGAGCCUUCGCUGAGCCUUCGCUAGGCGAAGCAGAGGCGACCGGGCCAGGGCUGCUUUGCUUUUGCUGCCAUUUCAUGUUUACCUAAUUAUGAUUCUGCGUUAUUUCGCUUAAAUUCCUGGCUGUUAUAUUUAUGUUAUGGUGCAUUUUCCAGUUGUAUUUUACCUCGAGUUUUAAUCCGUGUGUUCAUGGUAAAGGUUAGCAUAAUCCGAAGAAAUAGCCGUCUCGGUACUCCGCUUUAUGCAUGGGAAACCUUCAUGGAGAGGGCCUAAAUUAUUUCACUUUAAUGUGAAGAUUCAUAUUGAUUGCCUAAUUAAUUUUACUAUAUUAAUUUUUAAUGUAAUGUUGACUUUAAUGUAUCGAUUUAAUGCGGAAUCGCCAUAAUUACCUAAUGAACUUAAAACAUGACUUUAAAUAAAUGAUAUCGGACCCUCUCUUUAUCACCCCACGAUUACAAUAUUACGCGUCAUGUCCCGCGAACGUGGGGAUCCUUUAGCAAAGACCCUUCGGUAAAUCAUCAGGUUCCUCGGAUGUUGCCUUCGAAAUACGAUUUUGUCCCUCGAUGACCCUUCGUGUAGCCUACGUUAAAUGAUGAUCGUGCCCUUCGAAUGCUAAGGUAUCCUUACAACUGUUGCCUUCAAUGACCUGUCGAUGACCCUACGAUGACCCUUAAACAUCCAAAGGAUAAAACUACUUACUUCUCAUAGUAAGGACAGUUUUACCCUCAUAAGGAUAGGAAACGUUCAUAACGACCUUAGGAAGGUAUAACUCUCAAUUACUGGAUCAUAACCUAAAAUACUUUUACACCUCACACAUUUCCAAAUUAUUUUUUUCUUUCAAAGCUAAACGAGAUAACCACUUUGUAUACAUUCAUACAAGAAUCAUCACAAAGUUAAAUUCUCUUUUCAAAAACCUUUCUAAACCGUUUCAAAUCAAACGAGAUAAAUACUUUGUAUACAUUCAUACGAGAAUCAUUACAAAGUUAAACUCUUUUUCAAACAUUUUUAAGCAAUUCACCGACACUUUUUCAGACAAAAAAUAUAAGUGAUCCAGCAAUUAAGAGCCCAUGGAUAACCAGUGAUACAAAGGGUGCUAACACCUUCCCUUUGUAUAAUGUACCUCCCGAACCCAAAAUCUAUUGAGGUCUUUCCUGUUCUUUUCCACCUUUCCUUAUUGGAUAAAAGAAAAGUCGGUGGCGACUCUUGCUAUCCGCGACAUUACGAUAAAAAGCAAAACACCCCAAGUCAGUUCACCGUAUGACAAGAAACUGCGACUCUGCUGGGGAGUUAAAGAGAGGUCCAUCUUGAAAAAAAUCAUUUAUGUUUUGGAUUGUUCCUUCUUUUAAGGGUAUUGUUGAGUGAAAGAUCCUACACCCGAUCUAGUGUACCUUAGGUAAGUAGCAAUAGAUCAUCGCGACUAUCCGGCGAUAUACUGAAAUGGUUAAAAUGAUAGCUACGGUUAAUGUGACACUUUGGUCGUCCUGAUGUUCCUCAUGUAACUUGAGGAAAAAUUUGGCCUCCGCGUGGUGUCAUCAAAGCAUUAAACCAGACCUUUUAGAACCCUAAUUGACUUAUCCUAGCCAUUAGAAAGUAGUGAGAUAACUGACUUCGGUUCCGACUGAGGUUGGUUGAUACUCGAUACUACACUCUUGAGAUUGACUUUAGGGAAGCUUCGGUCAACCACUUGGUGUUGCACUGAAGUGGACCUAAAGAAAGGUCGAUGAUCUGAGAUCCUUCUAAGACCCGGUUACUAUUCUAGGACAGGUUAACCAACCAAACUUCAGUGGGGAGGGUACUUACCUAUGGAACUCAUGCAAGCCUUAAAACCUAGGAAUGAUGGUUGUUUGACUUGCUUGUUGCUUGUUAUUUAUUUAACCUCAAUAACAUCAUAACAUCAUAACAUCAUGACAUCAUAACAUUGAACUAAACCAUUUCAAGGACUUAGGGAUUUAACUUUGCUCUGUUUUGUAUGAAAAAAAAAAAACAAAAAAAAAAACAAAAAAAAAAACAAAAAAAAAAGUUUCCCUUUUCGGUAGUUUAAUAUCAAGUUAAAUUCCAAAAGGCCUUUGAAAACAUUUCAGCAUUGCAUAGCAUAACAUAGCAUAACAGGUACUCUAAAGGAUCAGUGUUCUCACGGUUUCCUCCAAAAACAGAAAAAUGGACCUCGAACAAACUGUCAAGGAUCUCCAUGCUCAGAAUGCUCAACUCCAGGAGAUGAUCUUGAACUAUCCAGGGGGCAGAGGAACUGAAAGCUCUCUUGCUCGAGAAAAGAAAGACAAGAAAGCUGUGAGUUACAUUAACCCGGAAGAAGGCUUAAAGGACAGGCUGCGGGAAUCAAAAUCAGAAUUCUGAAGGAUCAAGAAAGAGGAACAGAGACAGAUUCAGAAGAUGAGAAUGCUGAUCCUUUCAACCCUGAGGAUGACGAUGAAGAUUACGAGAAUGAACAGUACUCUCCAAAAGAUGGCAAGUACAAGGAAGAACGCAUGCUAGCUAUGGAAGGUCAGAAGCGCCCGGUCUGGAUUUUGAAAGUUUGGGUCUAGUCUCCGAUGUGAUCAUUCCUCGCAAAUUCAAGGUCCCCGCUUUCACUCAGUAUGAUGGGCAUCUCUGCCUCAGAUGCAUCUGAGAGCUUACGUGAGAAAGAUUCAGCCAUAUACCACUAAUAAGAAGCUCUGGAUCCAUUUCUUCCAAGAGAGUCUGUCUGGCACACAAUUGGAGUGGUAUUAUCAGCUCGAGAGCGCUCUGACAUCCACACAUGGACGAUUUAGCAACUGCUUUCUAUAUAAAAAGUACCAGUAUAAUUGAAUUAGCGCCUACUCCGGCUACAGUUGCAGAAUAUGACUAUGGAUCUAAAGAAAGUUUCAAAGAAUAUGCUUAAAAGUGGAGAGAUUGGCUGGCAGAGUCAAACCCCCUAUGACUGAUCGAGAAUUAGUGGACAUGUUCAUGAGCACACUGACUGCCCAUUCUACAGCCAUCUAUUGAGGAGUUCCUCAUUGGGUUCACUGAACUUAUAUUAACAGGUGAACUGUGAAAGUGCAUUCGAAGUGGGAAGAUACAGGCGACUAUCUUUGAUCCUCCGGAGACUCCAAUGGCAUCACUGCCCCUCUCCUAAUCAUGACGAGACUGUCAAUGCUUGUGAAGAUACUGAUAACAAUUAGACUUGGAUAGCUGGACUCCCCAACAAUUGGUGACGGACCCAAUAAUUGGAAGGCUGUGAGACACUAUCCCGAUUUCCUUUAGUCAAGGAGUAAUUGUUAUUUGCUAUUUUUGUGUUUCAAAGCAUUGUGUCUAUACCCGGGGCAUAAUAGCUAAUUUUUCAAGGGUUUGUCAUUUCAUAAGCAUAUUCAUAUUCAAUAAAUCAAUGGACUUUUGCAUUCAAAUAUUGCGUCUCUUAUCUUUCCUGUCAUUUUUUUCAAAACAAGCUAUGUUUUCUUGCACACACGCACGUAACAGUUUUCCGAUCCAUACUCACUCUGGAUCCUGUUGAUAAUAGUUCUGCUACUGUUCAUUAUGACUUUGAAAAUCCGAUCUACCAAGCGAGGAUGGAAGCGAGGAAGAUUGUGAAGUCCCUGGUGAACUUGUCAGACUGUUACACAAGAAGAAAAAGACCAUACAGCCGCAGGAGGAAUCAAUUGAAAUUGCAAUAGGUACUGAAAUAGACAAGAAAGAAGUCAGAGGUUCUUGGGGCACUCGAAUUACAUUGCCCGAUUCAUCCCACAUUUGACUGCUACCUGCACAACCCAUCUUCAAAUUACCAAAAAAGAAAAAUCAAGAGAGGUAUGGAAUGAUGAGUGACAAAAUCAAGAAAUAUCUCCAAGAACUCCAAUUCUAAUGCUACCAGUUGAAGGAAGACCUCUAAUCAUGUAUUUGACCGUGUUAGAAAAUUCAAUAGGUGUGCUGGGGCAACAUGACGAGUCUGGGCGAAAAGAGCAUGCCUACACUGCCUUAGCAAAAGGUACCGACUGUGAAACAAGAUACUCACAGCUCGAGAAAGCUUACUGUGCUUUGGCUUAGGCUGCUCGCCGACUAAGACAGUAUAUGUUGAAUCAUACCACUGUAUUGAUUUCUAAGAUGGAUUCUAUCAAAUAUCUACUUGAGAACCUGCGUGUCCUGAGAGAGUUAUCACUGAUAAUGGUACUAAACUGAACUCUACACGCUUCAAAAUAAAGCACCAUAACUCUCUCCGACCGGCCAAACGAACGGGCCUGGAGGCUGCUAACAAUAUCAAGAAUAUAACAGUAACAUACAAAGACCGGCAGGGAGAUGUUACCUUUGCUCUUCAUGGUUAUCGCACUUCGACAGGGGCAACCCCUUCUCUCUUAGUCUAUGGAAUGGAAGCCGUUUUACCAGUGGAAGUUCAGAUUCCUCUCUAAGAAUUGCGAAAGAUGCAGGCUUAGAUGAGGAUGAAUGGAUUCAAACUCGACUCGAUCAGAUAAAUCUGAUUGAUGAAAAGAGACUUGCGGCUGUUUGUCAUAGGCAGAUAUAUCAGAAGCGCAUGACCCAAGCAUUUAAACAAAAGGUCAAGAGACAGGUGUACCAACUUGGCGCCUUGGUGGUCAAGCGUAUCAUUCUACCACAAGUGAUUCCAGAGGCAAAUGGAUCCCACACACGAAGGGCCAUUUGUAGUUAAGAAGGCAUUCUCUGGUGGAGCCAUGAUACUUGCUACAAUGGAGUGGCGAAGACUUCCCGCAUCCUGUGAACGCGACAUAGUUAAAAAAUACUACGCGUACAGAGACCCGCGUAGGUCGAUGUACCUAGACAAAAGUAAGGGCAUCCCGCGCGAACCAAAAGGGUUCGGGCAAAAAUUAGGGAUAAAUAUAUAAAGACGUAUACCGGCAAGUCGGAAACCUGAAAAGGCGGCUUGGGCAAAAAAGGGUAUCCCGGUGGACUGAAAACCUGAAAAGGCGGUCCAGGCAAAAAUUAGGGAUUAAAGCGUAUGACUAUGUCCCGUUCUCCCGUCAGCUUCAACCAAGUUCAAGGAACUGAACAAAGCCAAUCACUUCUAUCCGCCAGCAGGAGAUGAGAUGCUCGAAGACAUGAUGACAGUAGUGGAAUUAAAAUCAAUAGGACUUUCUCUGCAUAGCUUUCUCUUUGUGUUCUUGACAAUUUCCUCUUACUAGGAUUUUUGUCUCCUUGUACACAGAUUGCCUGUUCAUAGGCCCUCUUUCAAAAUCAAUGCAAUUUUAUUCACUUUUACUCUUCUGUUUUUUUGCAUAAAUGUCCAUUGAUUUUGAUUUGAAUUAAUAUAUGCAUUUGAAAUGAUAAUGUUUAUCAAAAUACAUGCAUGGAAUGGCAAUAGCAAUUACUACCCGAAUUCAGAUCAAGGAGAAGGUCUAACCAUGCUUCCAAUGAAUCCGCUACCAAUCUUAUUCUCCCAGCAAGCUUGUUUUUCCUCAGGAGAAAUUGGCAUUAUUCCCCGGGCAAAGCCAGCUAUUCCCAGAAGAAGUCGAUAUCAUCAGACAGAUUGAUCCUCUCUUCCAUCCCAGCCAGGCUCUGUUGAAUAUUUCCACCAUCAGACCGAAAUCAACAACCCCCUGCGCGAAAGGUCAUCAUACAAGUAUCUCCAAUCAAGUAGAUGGGAUUUAUUUUCCCCAGUAGAGUCUCCAAGCAGAACUUCUCAUACGCAUAACUCAUUCCUUACAUCAUUUCACAUCAUACGCAUGCAUACAACAUUCGCAUUUAUUUUCGAAAGCAUAAACAUCUCAUGCAUCAUGACAUGACAUAAAGCUAACCUUUCUUUGCAGGUUAAUUAUUCUCCUGGUAUAGUCAAAGUAAAAGGCUCAUCCAGGCAGACGCCUUAUCAAUCACAGACAAGAUUCAGAUACAUCUUCCAGAUGCAGUUCAUGGGAACAUUCAUUCUGACAACACCUUCGAUAUCCUCCUAACGAUGGCGUCCUUAAGCCCAUCCCAGACAUCUAUUGCAACUCAACAUAUGGUUCAUGCUGAUUCAGCUCAACAUAUGACUCUUUCAACUCAAUACAGUCUAAUGUACGACCAAGUUAGACCUCCAGUCAUCAAAUACAGUCUAAUGUACGACAAGUAGACCUUCCAGUUAUCAAAUACGGUCUAAUGUACGACCCAAUUAGACAUUUGUUUCUCAGAUGCUACCUAGUGUACGGUACAUUCCUGAAGUGUAGUCUAGUGUACGACUACCCCCCUUUUUAUCAUCAGAUUCAGCCUAAUGGACGGCUCAGUCUGCUCAGAUACGGUCUAUGUAUGACCAAUUUGAUCUUCGUCUCCUCAGAUGCUACCUAGUUACGGUACAUUUCUGAAGUGUAGUUGAGUGUACGACUACCCCUUUUAUCACUCAGAUUCAGCCUAAUGGACGGCUCAGUCUGCUCAUAUACGGUCUAAUGUAUGACCCAAUUUGAUUUCGUCUCCUCAGAUGCUACCUAGUGUACGCGUACAUUUCUGAAGUGUAGUUAGUGUACGGACUACCCUUUUUAUCAUCAGAUUCAGCCUAAUGGACGGCUCAGUCUGCUCAGAUACGGUCAAGUACGACCAAUCUGACCUUCGUCUCCUCAGAUGCUACCUAGUGUACGGUACAUUUCUGAAGUGUAGUCUAGUGUACGACUACCCCCUUUUAUCAUCAGAUUCAGCCUAAUGGACGGCUCAUCAUGCAACUCCAAUACAGUCUAUCAUAAGACCCUGAUCUUCAACUCAGAUACAAUCUAGCGUACGAUCCGUUCUGAUUUUUCAUCCUCAGCAAAGUCAUCUGCCUAAUGGACAGCCCACUCUGGUCUUCAGACACGGUCUAAUGAUGAUCCAUUCUGAUCCCUUAUCCCAGCAGUAUAGCAUACUCUGACUCCCCGACGAAGUCAACAGCAUAAUUGAGGUUCACUAUACGGUCUGAUGUAUGACCCGGUGUGACACCCAUGUCUCUAGAUAUCGUCUAAUGUACGACACCAUCUGGAAAUCUCCUCAGCAAGUUUCUUGGAUGGCAUCUUUAAGCCCAUCUCCGUCAAGAUAAUGAACAAGUGCAAAUUUUUGGGGCAUUCUAAGUGUUCAAUAAUCUUUCACCUCCAGACCACGAACGGCGCAUGCCAUUCUACUCUCUCGGUUCGAGAAUAUUUGAACAGGGGCAGCUGUCAUACCCCAAAAUUUGCCCGUUGGCAUUACCAAACAUUUCCAAGACCCUCUGACUUGUUCUGCAAGCACCGGUAUCAAAUGGACAAAAGCCCACUCACAUAAGGCCCAAUCCACAGGCGGCCCAAAACAUCUGGCUCGCUAGCGAGUAGCUCCUUCGCCUAGCGAACAUUUCAUCAUGUCCCUCGCCCAGCGAAGCAUUGGAUCCAGGAAAAGCCCAGACUAGUUUGCUCGCUAGGCGAGCAAUUCCUUCGCCUAGCGAAGCUUGCGAAGUUUGAGAUUUUGGACCUCAUUUUAAGCCCAUUAGGUCACCACUACUCUACUAUAAAUACCUACUUCUCUGCACGAAAAAGAGGACACGGAGACGGACGAAGACGGACGGAAACACGCAUCCAGAGGGAGAAACACAGGAACCCUGCUGAUCCAAAGAGUUCCGAAGGCGGAAACCCUGAAGGCCGCUUACCCGCUCCGAAGCUAUCGUCGCCCAAUUCAAUCCGGCUCGCCAAUCCAGUUUGCAUUAUUAUUGUCGCUUUAGUUUCUUAAUGGCAUAUGAUUAUCAUUUUGUGUCCUUAUUUUGCAUGUGGUACCACUUUAGUAUCUUAAUUUGCAUGUGAUCGUUUUGUUACUCUCAUUUGGCAUAUGGUACCACUUCAUGUUCUUAAUUUGUGGAUUAUAAUUGAAUUCAUAAACAUUUUGAAGUCUUGCAUGAGAAUUUAAAUGUGUUUGCCUAUUGUGAAACUGAACCGUAUAAUCAUAUGUUGGAUGCCAUAAGCCAUGCUGCAGGUUGAAGUUAUAAUGUUCUCAAAUGUCAAACCCGUGGCCGCUCGCUAGCUCAUCGCUAGGCGAGCCCGCAGCGAGCCUUCCUGAGCCUUCGCUAGGCGAAGCAGAGGCGACCGGGCCAGGGGCUGCUUUGCUUUUUGCGCCAUUUCAUGUUUACCUAAUUAUGAUUCUGCGUUAUUUCGCUUAAAUUCCUGGCUGUUAUAUUAUGUAUGGUGCAUUUUCCAGUUGUAUUUACCUCGAUGUUUUAAUCCGUGUGUUCAUGGUAAAGGUUAGCAUACUUCCGAAGAAAUAGCCGUCUCGGUACUCCGCUUUAUGCAUGGGAAACCUUCAUGGAGAGGGCCUAAAUUAUUUCACUUUAAUGUGAAGAUUCAUAUUGAUUGCCUAAUUAAUUUUACUAUAUUAAUUUUUAAUGUAAUGUUGACUUUAAUGUAUCGAUUUAAUGCGGAAUCGCCAUAAUUACCUAAUGAACUUAAAACAUGGACUUUAAAUAAAUGAUAUCGGACCUCUCUUUAUCACCCCACGAUUACAAUAUUACGGUCAUGUCCCCGCGAACGUGGGGAUACCUUUAGCAAAGACCCUUGUAAAAUCAUCAUGGUCCCUCGGAUGUUGCCUUCGAAAAUACGAUUUUGUCCUCGAUGACCCUUCGGUGUAGCCUACGGUUAAAUGAUGAUCGUCCUCUCGAAUGCUAAGGUAUCCUUACAACUGUUGCCUUCAAUGACCUGUCGAUGACCCUACGAUGACCCUUAAACAUCCAAAGGAUAAAACUACUUACUUCUCAAUAGUAAGGACAGUUUUACCCUCAUAAGGAUAGGAAACGUUCAUAACGACCUUAGGAAGUAUAACUCUCAAUUACUGGAUCAUAACCUAAAAUACUUUUUACACCUCACACAUUUCCAAAUUAUUUUUUCUUUCAAAGCUAAACGAGAUAACCACUUUUACAUUCAUACAAGAAUCAUCACAAAGUUAAAUUCUCUUUUCAAAACCUUUCUAAACCGCUUUCAAAAUCAAACGAGAUAAAUACUUUGUAUACAUUCAUACGAGAAUCAUUACAAGUUAAACUCUUUUUCAAACAUUUUUAAGCAAUUCACCGACACUUUUUCAGACAAAAAUAUAAGUGAUCAGCAAUUAAGAGCCCAUGGAUAACCAUGGAUACAAAGGGUGCUAACACCUUCCCUUUGAUAAUGUACCUCCCGAACCCAAAAAUUAUUUGAGGUACUUUAUCUUUCCUGUUCUUUUCCACCUUUCCUUAUUGGAUAAAAGAAAAGUCGGUGGCGACUCUUGCUAUCCGCGACAUUGCGAUAAAAAGCAAAACACCCCAAGUCAGUUCACCGUAUGACAACAUCCAAAGGUCAACCUAUUGAUAAUAUUCUUGGAGAUAUCACAAGAUGCGUGACAACACACUCUAAGAUAAGUAACUUUUGUUAUCACUUCACUUUUGUGUCACAAAUUGAGCCUAAAAAUGCUAAAGAUGCAUUACUUAAUGAGCAUUGGCUCAUGGAAAUUCACGGCGAGCUAAAUCAAUUUAAAAGGAAUGAUGUUUGGGACUUUGUCCCGUGUCCAAAACAUCAUUAAGUAAUAGGCACAAGAUGGGUUUUUAGGAACAAGCUUGACGAAAAUUGAGUGAUAACCCGGAAUAAGGCCCGAUUAGUCGCUUAAGGGUAUAACCAAAAGGAGAGUAUUGACUAUGAGGAAACUUAUGCUCCGUUCGCCCAACUUUAGGCCAUACACCUUUUUCUUGCCUUUGUUUUCUCUAAUAACUUCAAAUUAUUUCAAAUGGAUGUGAAAAGUAUAUUUCUAAAUGGUUACAUUAACAAAGAUGUGUAUGUUGCUCAACCUCCCGGUUUUGAAAAUCACUAGUAUCCCAAUCAUGUUUUCAAAUUAAAACACACUUUACACGAUCUCAGGCAAGCACUUAGGGCUUGGUAUGAGCUACUAAGCAAGUUUUUGAUUAAUCAAGGGUACUUAAGGGGAAAAGUUGACACUACUUUUUUUUAUUAAGCGCCAUGGAAAUUGUACUUUUCUUGUACAAGUAUAUGUUGAUGACAUUAUAUUUGGAUAUACUAAUAUGCAACUUGUCGAAGAAUUUUCUAAGCUUAUGCAGGGAAAGUUUGAAAUGAGCCUUAUGGGAAAUCUAAAUUACUUCAUAGGUCUUCAAAUCAAACAACUAAAUGAAGGCACAUUUGUUUCUCAAACCAAGUAUUGCAAGGACUUGCUAAAGAGAUUUGGCAUGGUUAAUGCAAGGUCGAUUGACACUUUGAUGGCUACUAACAGUAACUUGGAAAGGAAGGAAAUUGGUAAGGAUGUGAAAGUGAAGAAAUAUAGAGGUAUGGUAGGUUCUCUUCUAUAUAUCACUGCAUAUAGGCCAGAUAUCAUGUUUAGUGUCUGUAUGUAUGCCCGAUAUCAAUUGGCCCCUAAGGAAUCUCAUCUCAAAGUCGUCAAAUGAACUUUUAGAUAUCUUCAUGGUACUUUGAAUUAUGGGCUUUGGUAUUCCAAAGGGAGUGAUUAUAGCUUAGUUGGUUACACUAAUUCCGACUUUGGCGGUUGCAAGUCGGAUAGGAAAAGCACUAGUGGGACUUGUCACAUAUUUUUAAAUUCCUUAGUUAGGUGGCAUAGCAAGAAAUAAGUUUCAGUUGCUUUGUCACCACCGAGGUGGAAUACGUAGCGCUCGGUAGUUGUUGUGCUCAAAUUUUGUGGCUUAAACAAUAAUUACUUGAUUUUGAUAUAAAAGUAAGCCAUAUUCCGAUUUGUGCGACAACACUAGUGCCAUUAACCUAACUAAGAACCUAGUGUUGCAUUCUCAUACUAAGCAUAUUGAGAUUCAUCAUCACUUCCUACGCGAUCAUGUUGAAAAAGGCAACGUCAUUUUUUAGCAUGUUAAUAGUAAAAAUCAAUUAGCCGAUAUUUUUACAAAACCACUUGCAACCGAACCAUUCUUUAACAUUCGAAGGGAAUUAGGAAUUAUUGACAUCUAAACACUUGCCUAAAUGUUAUGUUAAUGCACUUUGAAUAUAUGUUGUCUAUCUAACAUUUAUUGACAAACAUACUUCAUAAGAGUGCAUUCCUCAUCAUUUCACAAGCAAGGUACUAUCAUUUCAUUUUCCGUUUUUGUGUUAGAUUUUUCUUUUCACAUGUCAUUUAUGGUCCAUAUGAUUGAUGUUCUUAACAUAUAAGAUAGUUCAUGUAUGAUCACUUCCAACAAUGUCCAAAUGAUGUAUGUCAAUUCAUAUGCGUAUAGUGAUGUUUCUCUAUCUUCAUUCUCCUUGAAAUAUAGUAAUUGGUGCAUCAGUUUGUUAUCUAUUUUUCUCAUGAUUUAUGAUUGAACAUGUUACAUUAUUAACAAUAUCCUUGAUUGUGUGUCAUUGUUAUGUUUUUAUCUAUGUUUUUGGUUUGUGUGGUGGUACUUUAUUUAUCGUCUUGCUAUAGCACAUGCGUGUGCAACAUUUAGGCAGCACCAAAGGCGUAUGUCACGUAAUCAUGUCAUUUUUGUAGCGUGUCAAGUAUUUUGUGUUCACUUUUUAUCCUUCAUUUUUCAUGAUUGUGUUGUAAUUAUGUGGCAUAAGUUGUGACAAUUUAUUAUAUUGUUGCAUUAUUGUCAUGUAUCUAUGUUUAAGUAUUUCUUUUUAAUAUGCAAAUCAUUCAAUGUGAGUGUUAUCAUAUUAAUGUUCUUAUCUUUGCAAAAUGCCUUUGUGUGUUAUAUUCGUUUAUGCGUGAUUUUAGAUUCUUUUCAUAGAUUGCUUCGUUUCUUUUUUAUGUUGUCAAAGGGGGAAAAGUAAGAUGAAGAUGAAUGAAGUUAUAUGGUGCAUACAUUCAUGGGGGCUUUUCAUUGCAAAUGCAUACACAUCAUCUCAAGUUUUUCCAUCAUCAAAAGGGGGAAUAUAUGAGUGAAACUUCCAUUAGAUGUGUCGGGUCUUCAGGUCGACACAUAUGGAACAUGUAACUAUCAUAGGUCGACACAUGACCUUAGACAGGUUGACCUAUGCAUCAAACAGGUCGACACAUAACCUGUAUAGGUUGACUUAUCCGAUAUUUUUCUUCAAAAAUUCAUAUUUUUCUAUCCUCCUUUGCAUUUCCUUUUGCCCUAAAUCACCCAUGCAUAUAAAUACUCCAUAUAUGCAUCAUUCCAUAGUAAGGUUUAUAGAGUGAGUAAAACCUAUAUGAAUCCAGAAUUCCAAAGCAUCUCAUGAUCUUCAAUUCAAUCUAUGCAUACAAAUAAUCAAACUACACGUAAUAAUUUUUUGAUUGGGUGCCAUCUAGAUUAGGAUUGAUAACGUCUAAUUAGGUUUGUUGUACCGAGAAUAAUGGGUUGCGGUCUUUGACGGAUUCAAAUAAGAAAAUCGGUUUAGGGUUUUCCUUCAAGAUCUUUAGGGUUUGAAGGUUUUUGACAAGAUUGUGCAAUUCAGAUCCGAUCGAGUGAAAGCCUUGAGAAUAGGUGCGUCGGUAAGGGAAUAGCGUGAAAUAGUGGAUCGUGUAGACAAAUCUUGGGUUCAAUAAGUGUGUGCUUGGGAUUAAUUGAAUUGGGUAAAAGCCUUGAGACAAGGAGGUUGUGCAAGGAAAUAGCAACAACAGGUGAAUUGAAGCAUCAUUCUUGGUGACUUGAUCAAUCUUCGAUCAAGGUUUUUGGAGGUGCUAGAGUCAAAAACAAACUUAAGGUUUAUGGGGUUUGAUUUCUCACCUCUUGUAUUCAUACAUUUGCAAAGUAAUAUUUAUUAUAUUAAUAUCUCAAUUCGAAUUCAAAUUAAGGGCAGACGUAUCCAUAGUAAGGUCGAUUAGGGAACUGCCUAAACAAAUCCUUGCAUACUCUCUCUCUCUCUCUCUCUCUCUCUUAUUUUUAUAUUCGUAAAUUGUCGAUUGCUUUGAUCACUAGAUCAACAUAGUUUUGAUCAUAAUUUUGAUUACAUUUUGAAUCUUAUGUUUAUUGUAAUAAUCAUUAACCAUUUGGUUGUGAUUGGAUUUAUUAGAAUAACAAACACCAUAUAAAACUCCAAACUUUAUUUUUCGCACACCAAGUGUUCGAUAAAUUGUUUGACUUGGUUUUUUGUGUGUGGAUAUCUUUAGAGAUAGACUUUACUAUUGUAGAGUAUAUAAUUAGUUGUGCUUAAUAGUUGUUGAUUGACUUGUAGAUUACUAUCAUUCUAUUGGUACUAUUAUACAUAUUUGGGCUUUUAAAUAGUAGGUUUGAUUAGACGAUUUUGGAUUCAGAAAAUAUUUGAAACUUGCUUCUGCGCCAAAAAAAUUCUAAAUCAAAUUUUCAAAUAUAUUUUUAACUUGGGAUCUAUUCACCCCCUCUAGAUCUAGGCAUAUCGUCUAACAAAAGGGAAACAACCAUGAAGAUUGGAAAAACAAAUAUCAUCAACCCUGAAGGUUGAGAAAAAGAUCAUCAACCAUGAAGGUUAGAAACAAAUCAUCAACAUGAAUACUGGAAAAAGGAUUAUCAACCACGGAGGUUGGAGAAAAGUCAACAACCAGAAGGUUGGAAGAAGGGUCAUCAACCAUGAAGGUUGGAAAAGGGUUAUCAACCAUGAAGGUUGGAAAAAAGAUGACCAACCAUGGAGGUUGGAAAAAAGGUCACCAACCAUGAAGUUUAUAAAUAAGGAUUAUAAACCAUGAAAGUUGGAAAAAAGGAUUAUCAACCAUAGAGGUUGGAAAAAAGAUCACCAAGGAUCAUCAACCAUGAAGGUUGGAAACAAAUCUCAUCAAAUAUCAUCAACCAUGAAGGUUAGAAACAAGGAUCAUCAACCAUGAAGGUCGGGAACAAGGAUACUAAGCAAGUUAGGCUUUAAAAGAUGCCAAGUUGAUUGGGUUUUGAGAGAGGUGCCAAACAAUACUAGGCUUUAAAAGGUACCAAGCAAGUUUGGGAUUUGGAAGUGCCAACAAAUAUAAGGCUUUGGCUUUUCUGGUUUGUAUGACAAGACUUCAUGUUAUGCUAGAUGAAUAAUAUGCAUGAGUGAAGAGACAUGAUUAAUGCAUGAUGAUUAUUUGUGCAACGGUUAACCAGACUCUCAUUUGAUGGGAGGUGGGAGGUGUAAGGUUAGGAUGAAGGUCAUAAAAACGUGAUUCUCUAACACCUACUUCAGUCUCAACAAUUGUUGACACACCUUUGUGCUUGCUUUGAAACAUUGAGAGAACUUGUACCUUCAUAGUCUACCUCUGCCCCAAUCUACUGGGUAUCUUCAUGAAUCGCCCCAGUCACAAGUUGUGAAGCAACCUCGUCAUAUGACGAUCUUGAUUUGACCUGCCGCAAUAUCUUGAAAUUGUAUGCCCCUGAUUAACCGUCUUAAAGAGAUUUGUCAAAUUUCGACGUGGUUACCCCAGAUUGACUGAAUCUUGAAGCGAUUUGCCCUUUGGAGUGAUCAAACUUCCCAUUUUGUAAGCUUUAUUGAUGUCAAGUGCUCAUUCGUAAGUAAAAAAUGCUCAUUUUGAAAAUGAUAAUUGUAAUGUUAUGUUUAUGUCAGUUUUGAAAUCCAAGUAUGUUCACUAAAAUUAUGACAUAUAGUGAAUGAAUCACUAAUGAGAAUGCCAUAUCAAUAUCAACACAGUAGAUAAACAAAUCUUUAAGAGUUAGCUUUGACAUGAUCUUACCGUAGUAUGCUUUUGAGAUAAACCAUGUUUCAAUUAGGUCUUUUGAGGGUUGUAACGUGGCCUGGUUCACGGUUUCCAAAAAAUGGGUAUUCUAAGCCACCUGUUCUCCUGGAUGUUCUCCAUUCCUAUGUUCAGUUAAUUCGGCACAGGCGCUCACCUUUUCAAAAAGGAUUUUGAAUGCUAUAAGUGAUGGUUAAGAAACCGACAAGGUUUUUGGAGUUGUAGUCAUCCAUCUUUCGUUCUUUUGUAGCCACACGAAUUUGUUCUUGCUAGGGAUUUUUGCUUUUAAUCCUCUUUUCUUUUUUUUUACUUUCCCUGAUUUUUGCCUGGACUGAUUUUUCGAUCAUACGGUCCACUAGGAUGCCCUAAUUUUUGCCUAAGUCACUUGUUUUCAAGUUUUCGACUUAACGAGCUUUCUUCCUUUUCCUUUUUUUUUUGAAUUUAUCUUCUUUUUUUGUUGGAACAAAUCAUUUGACAUUUGUUUGAUUUUUUGAAAGGGUCGUGACUGCCCCGUUCCUUUUAUUGGUGAGGGACAACCAUUGUGGAUUUGUGAUUCAAUCCUCACAUGAGGUAUAUGAUGUGGUUGAUCCUUUAGUGGGAUGCUUCCUUUUUGAAAUUUGAAUGCAAUGUCAAACUAACUGAAAACUACCAUACCCCUGGUUAAUAUUGAGGGUUUAUGUAUAGAAAGAAAACUCAUACUCCAAGGCUCAAAGGGGUUGACUAUGGAUUAUCUUACAUCGUCAGCAAAGAUAUAUUCAAAAGCGUACAACUGGUAGUUUCGUGUAUUUUGGUUUCAUCAUUCUCCUUUGAUCUUGCUUAAGCAAGAGUUUGAUACUAAUAAGGAAGUAUGAGUGAACAUAAAUGGAUUUAGUUAAAACAUGCAUGUUUAUUUCAUUAUUAUUAUCAUCUGAAAGCAGACAAGGUUUACAAAUGAACAACACUUAAUGAACAAAAAAAUUACAAAUGAAAAUGAUUGAACAAUAUAAUGUUGUUGGCGUGACUAGCCUUGAUAUUCACCCACAGAUGCAACCCCUCUAAUAAUUUUUGUGCAUUCUUCUUCAAUAACUACAUUCACCAUAGGCCCAUCGUGAGUUGGGAAAGGAUUAGUCCUUAUGUUGGGACCUUCCUCAAAGAAAGACAAGAUCUUCUAGUCGAUGAGCUAUUGUACCUUGCUUUUGAAAAGCCUGCAAUCCUCAGUUGAAUGCCCUAUAUAGCCAGCAUGAAAUGCGCAAUAGGCAUUGGGAUUAUGCUUCGGUCCAUAAGGGGAAACAACAAGUGGUAUUUCUUUCGGCACGAGGUAUGGUAGCAACUAGGCAUACGGUACAUGGAUUUUUGUGGUUGUUGUAUUACUUUUAUACCUCUAAUUUACAUUAAGUAUAAUUGUUAUCUUUUCUAGUAAACUAUUUGUUUAAAGUAUAGGAAGUCUCUUGCUAGUUUUCUUGAGCAGUUAAAGCCUUUUUCCUGUGUGCUUUAGCAUAAGUCUCUUGCUGGAUUAGUGAUUGAGCAGUUUAAGUCUAUUGCUAGUUCGCUUAAACAAAGUGUAAUCAGUUUGAUUAUAAUAAAAAUUUAUUGUUGGACAAGGGGACUGGAUUGCUCUCAGUUUAAGAGAGGAACCAGGAUAAACUAUGUGUGUUGCUUUUCUAUUUGCUUCUGAUUGUUAUUCAUUCUACUGCAAACUAACUUUAUAUUUAGUUUCUGAGGCUGGUUUUUAGAAGUAGAAAAAGAAUUAACAUACAUAAUUCAAUCCCCAAUUUCUUGUGUAUUUUUCUCAACUUCAGCUCAAACACUAAGUAAAAGACUUCUAACAAUCUUCCUAACAAAUAGAAUAUUCUUUGAGGUAAUACACUUGAUAUACAAUCAAAGGUGUAGAUAAAAUACAACUAAAAAAUAACUCUUUGAGACUUAAGGAUUUAUAGAAUAUACAAAGGUAAGAAAUCAUAAGUUAAACUUGUGUUUAUGUUUUGACAGAGUAACUACUCUUUGAAUGUCAAUAGUUUAUUGGUUACUUUUCUUCAAGUCUUCAACUCCUAAAUAGAGAAGGAAAAGAGUCGUUGAAUAUCCAACAUAAGAGAGUCCUUGAGAAGCUUGAAUAGAGACAUUGGUAUGUUUCUAUAAAUGGUUAAUUUCAUUAAAAGUUUGUUUGAAAUUCCUUUGUUGUAAAAGGAAUUAUUAGUUGUAUCCCAAUUAAGUUUAUAAAGAAAAUAAAGUUUAGGUAUUCACGUGACAAAGUAGGUUCAAAGGUUGAUAAUGACCUAUCAGAGUCACCUUGUUCUUUGUUCCUAGAAUAAACUUUAGAUUCUGAUAAGCAAAGGCAAACUUCUUCAAAGUAUGGUCUUAAUAGGCUGACUUCUUCAGAUUCUGACCUUCAGACAUUAACCUCUUCAAAAGAUGACUUAUUCAGAUUCUGGUCUUUAAGCUUCUCUUAAAAUGUUCAUAGUCAUAACCAAUACUUGGAUUAUUCAUGAAAUUUUAGUUUAUGGCCCUUCACACUUGAACAAAUAUUAGUAUACCCAAUUAUUCUUUAAAUGUUUUGUUAUCAUCAAAACCUAAAGGAUGCGAGACAACCCAAUUUUGUUCCAACACUCUGCUCCUUUUUUAUGAUGACAAAUAUACAUAUUUAAGAAUAAUGGUUGUUAAUUUGAUUAACAAGUUGACUUAAGGGUCUGGCGUUUGUCAGCCCUCUUGUGUCUAAUAGUCUAUAGGGUGAGAUUUGUAAGCUCUCUUUAUGUUCUAUUCAGAUUAAUUAAAUUUAAACAUUAAAUUACAUUAAUAGAUCUUCAGAAUUUAAGCAAGAAUAAUAACUGCCAGAUUUUAGGUGUUUAAAUACUUUUAUAUCUACUCCCCUUUUGUUAUAAAUAAAAACAAAUUAAGGAAAUAGAAAAGAUACUUAAGAAAAAAAUAUUUCAUUUAACCAAUUUUUUUUCCAGAGGCACAAAACUUUGAUAAUAAAAUUCACAAAUAUAAAAUGUUUGGGAUUUUACCAAAUAUGGAUAAAAAUGAAUCAAAAUAACAUUUCUUCUCCCCCUUGUCAUAAAUUAUUUAAAAAUAUUUUAGAAAAUGAUUGCAGAUUGGCUAGAAUGGUUGGGAAACAACUCUUCAAUUCGCGAGAUGAUCAAAGCUGGUUCUGACACAUGAGCAUUUGAUAAAAAUAAAGCAGUCAAAGUUGGGGAGAUGUGUUUGAAGACCAAGAAUGUAUCUCGCUCCAAUGUCUAUUGGUUCACAACACUCAACACUGAUUUGCUUUGACCCAAACUCUCAAUAUAAGUCGUGUUAUGUUACUAGCAAUGCUAUAUUCCUUUAUAUCUAUUUAUUCUCAUAACUGAUAAAAUGAGUAAAUCUUCCAAGAAUACCAAUGAUGGUUCUUUCCAAGAGAUAAACAAGGCAAUUAAGAAGUCCAAAAAUGUUAAAGGAAAUAAAUAUAAGGAUGCUAAGCCCAAUAAUUCAGAAGGUUCAAAGUCACAAACGGGUUCAUCAGCUGGAGCUUCUUUGGUAGGAAAGACUCCAGUCUUCAAGAUGAAGAAACUAAAGAAGAAGAAGGAUAUAUCUGAUGAUUAUGGACCAGAUGCUGAUGAAAACUGGAUGAACUUUCUCAUAAUGGGUGGUUUUCAUCCUGAUGUAGUCUGAGAGUUGAGGUUUUUUAAAACAUCUUGCUUUCUUAUGAGAAUGAUCAUGGAUUUGUAAUAACUUCUUAAUCAAUAAUAACAGAUCAUUUUCCAUUUGCAUUUGUUUAUGAUUCUCUUGCCACAAACAUCUUUUAGAAUGAGUCAUCAUAAGAGAUGUUUCAGAUGAGUUUUCAACCAUUUCAUCCAGUUUUUUUUUGUGUUAAGAAAAAUAUCGUGAGUUUACAAAAUUUUAAUCACACAAUCAUUAAAAUAAAAAAACUAAGGGCGAUAAAACAAGAUUUCAUUUUACUCAAGAAAAUAACUCCCAAAGGUAACACAACCAUUUUUUACAGCAGAAAGAAUAAGUAUGACAAAUGUCACACUUAUUUGCCUUAACAAAAAUACUCGGUUAUGUCUAUUAAUAUAACUCAGAGAUUAGAAUACAAAAAAUUCUCAAGAGGAUUAUGACUCAGGGUCUUUUGAACCAGAGAACCUUAACACAUAUAAUUAAUUGGUUCAGAGUCAAAUAACUUCAUAAACACGUAGUAAAUAAACAGAGGCACAAAGGUUUUGGAUUAAAAUAAAACCACAAUUGAAAACAAAUGGGAGAGUGAUAUAAUAUUCAGACACAACUACAUCAUUAACCAUGAAUUAUUACCCAUUAGCUAAGGAACCAUGUGUCAUGAAACCUUUCAAAUUCAUGACACAUAAGUGGACAUGUGUUAAAAAACUUUCCCACUUAUAUGCUAUUAGAGGUAACUAAUUAUAUUAUGAGCAUUAAAGGUUGGGUUGCAUUAGAUGUUAUUAAUCAUCAUAAGCUAGUUCAGAACUUCUAAUCAUAGUAGCUUCUUAUCAUCAACAGACUCUGAUCCUUCAUUCAGAAGCAAGCACUAAUAUUUAACAAAAUGCAUGUUCAUAUUCUUUUUAAUAAAACCAAAUCUUUCAAUAGUAAGUGGUUUUGUAAAUAUAUCUACCCAUUGAUGAUCAAUAUCAAUGAAUUCUAUAUCUAUCACACCUUCUUGAUAUAGUCUCUAAUAAAAUGAUGUUUUAUUUCUACAUGAUUGGUUAUAGGAUGUUGAAUAUGAUUCUUUUUCAAAUAGAUAACCACAUUAUUAUCACAAAAGAUAGUAAUACAACUUACACUUAUCUGAUUCCAACUUAUAUUUUAUCCAUAGUAGUUGCGUGCAAUAACUUUAAAUUGAGACGUAUUCUGCUUCUGUUGUGGACAAAACAAGAAUUGCUUAUCUUUUACUAGCCUAGGAUAUUAGGUUUUCACCUAUGAAUUAAUAGUUUCCAUUAGUGAACUUUCUCUCAAUUCUAUCCCCAACAUAGUCAGCAUCACAUAAUUCAACUGACUUAUAAUCUAUGGAUUUUUUUAUAAAGCAUCCUUAGAUUGGUUUUUCCCUUCACCUACCUAAAGAUCCUCUUAAUAGCUGUUAAGUGACUCUUUCUAAUAUCUGACGAAAAUAAUGCAUACAGACAAACACUAAAUAAAAUAUAUGGUAUAUGAGUUGUUAAAUAAAGUAAAUAGUCAAUCAUACCUCUAUACAACUUAUGGCAGACCUUGGUGCUGCUUUUGUAAUGCCCCAGACUACUUUCAGGAUUACCGACUGACCCUACAAACUAACACGAGUCUUUUCAGCAUGUUUUGUCCCCACUCACACGUUUUUUGGGAAACUUCCCAAAAGGUCACCCAUCCAAAUACUACUCUAAGUCAAGCACGCUUAACUAUGGAGUUCUUAUUUGUUAUGUUACCAAAAAAAGAUGUAUCUUGUUUGUAUAAGUAGUACCAAUUAAUCCUUAUAAGAUUUCAUUCAACCAUGUAAUCCCAUACAUGCACAACCUCAAGAUCGCUCUCAUUCCGACGUGAAUUCAACAACCACUCUCCGUCCUCUUCGGCCUCAAGUUUUACAUCCACUUUUCGCCCUCUUCAGUCUCGGGUGUUACAUGUCCACCAACUUCCACUUGAUUCGUCCCUAAACCACAUCAUACUGGUAGAGGUCUAGCUCUGAUACCAUUUGCAACGCCCCAUACUACUUUCAAGAUUACCGAUUGACCCCGCGAACAAACAUAGUUCUCUUCAACAUGUUUUAUCCUUACUCACACAAUUUUCGGGAAACUUCCUAAAAGGUCGCCCAUCCAAAUACUACUCUAAGUUAAGCACACUUAGUUAUGAAGUUUAUAUUUGUUAGGCUACCGAAAAGGAAAUGCAUCUUAUUGGUAUAGGUAGUACCAGUCAAUCCUUAUAAGCUUUCCUUCAACCAUGUAAUUUCAUACAUGCACAACCUCAAUAUACCUAUCAUUCCGAUGUGAAUUCGGCGACCACUCUCCGCCCUCUUCAGCCUCGAGUUUUACAUCCACUAUUCGCCCUCUUCGGCCUCGGGUGUUACAUGAGAGUGAAAUCAAUGGUAGUUGAACACACAACCUUUCCCCUUAAUGAAAGCCUUUUACCACUUAACCAAACUUGUUCUUUUUGUUAUUUAUAACGCCUUAGACUGCUUUCAAGAUUACCGACUGGCCGCACAAACUAACACGAGUCUUUUCAGCAUGUUUUAUCCUCACUCACAUGCUUUAUAGGAAACUUCCCAAAAGGUCACCCAUCCAAAUACUACUCCAAGUCACAAACACUUAACUAUGGAUUUCUUAUUUGUUAGGCUACCAAAAAGAAUAUCCAUAUUGUUGGUGUCAUACCCUAAAGUUUUCCCACCCCUUUUCACUUUUCAUAUAACCUUUGGCUUGAGAUUCAUCUGCCCACAUGCAUACCCAAAUACAUACGCAUCAAUCAUUCAUAAUAACACUUUCAAACAUACAUCAUAUCAAUGUUUGUGGUUAUUUAUACCUAACAAAAGAUAGGAUUUGCUUGAGGAUCAAGCCCUAGGAUUAUGGUGAUGCUUAUCAUUUGGAAACAAGGGGGUGAAACCCUAAUUUCUUGUGCUUGGGACCUUGGUUCAUGAAGAUUGCAAUCAUAGUAUUCAACUAUUCACAAAACCUUAAUUAUUGACGUUGGUACUCAUGGAACAUGUGGUUGGCCUUAUGAGUUUGUGUUUGAUCACUAAACUCUAAUCUUUGGGCCUUUUAUUGAAGAUUUGAUUAUGGAGCCUUAGUGCUUGGUUUGAGGUCCUUGAUUUUAUGGUUGGCAUCAUGAAACCCUAAUCAUGGAUAAUUGGCAUUUGUGUACCAUGUUGGUUUGACUAUUGAUCUGGUGAUUGACCAAAACCCUAAUACAUUAGACUGUGGUUCUUGAUCAAUAUGUCAUGCAUCAUCAAUCAUUAAGUUUGAUUUGUUCUUAGGAAUCAUUCAUCAAGAUUGAUCAUUGGGUUUACAUGCCUAUAUGCUUGGUGAUUCACAUGAUCCAAGGACUUGUUCAAGCUUUCAUCCAUGUCAUGUUGCAUUCUAUUUUCUAUUCAAGUCCAUUGAUCCUAAGUCUAAGGUGCAUUCAAAGUACUUGAUCCAUGCUUCAUAAAUGCAUUGGUUCAUGAUCUUUUAGUCCAUUGAUUUCAUUGUUUCAUAAUGCAUUUUUGGUCCAUUUUUCUCAUGGUUUAUUAUGCAUUCUUGGUCCAUAAAUCUUUGAUUCAAGGUGCAUUGUCCUACUCCAUUGGUCCAUGUGUCCUCAGACAUUCAUAGUCCUUAAAUGUUUUUAAUCCAUUAGGUCAUUCAUGAUUCAUUUCAAGGUGGAUUCAAACAUGGAAAAUAAGGCAUUAUUCUUUAAACCAUUUCUAUUCAAAAUAAAGGUCCAUUCAUUCAUUAAUUUGUCAUUUUACAUUAUCCAUACAAAAGAAAAUUAAAAAAAUACAAUUUUUACAAAAAGUUGACUUUUGGUUAAGUGUUGACUUUUUGGUCAACUAGUUGACCAAAGUCAACUAACCUAUUUUUCAUCUCCUAAACUCUAACACUCAUUCUAUCUUCAUUCUUGCACAUUUCCAUGUGAUUCCAUCAUUAACUUUCUUCAUGAACAAGUAAAACCACCUUGUACAUCAAGUUUUGAUCACUUGUCAUGCCUUGAAUGUUCAUUUGUCAGGCCUUAUUUUGCCUUAUCUUGAGUUAAUGUUAAAUUUCCAUGCCAACCCUGCACUUAACACAAAAUAAGACAUGCAUAAGUGACCAUGUUAACCAAAGCAAACAUGCAGCCUACUAUGUCAUGACUUAGCAACACAAGAAGCAUCAUUCAAAAUAUUAAGCAUCUUAACCAAAAUAUGUGUCAAACAUGAGAGCAAAUAAUGCAAUGCAAGAAAUAAUCCAACAACCCAUGACAACAAGCAUUAAUGUCAUACAUUCAGAUACAUUCAAAGCAUGCAUAACAGUCCAUAUAACAUAUGUACAUAGCAGGGAAUUCCAAAGCAGUAGCAAAUGCAUUCAACACAAUACAACAUCAAAGCUAGCAACUGUUCAUCUAACUAUGGCCAUGUGUCGCACCUCGAAAAAUGAGAACACAACCUAGCGAAGCGCAAUCGCAUGCUUGCAUGAUGGACUAAACAGAUUCGCCAUCGAACAUAUAUUUAUUCCUAAAAAGGAAAGGGGAAAUAUCGAUAAAACCCAAGAAAGAACGACAAUGAUUAUGGUCAUCGCAACCAAAUCAGGGUUCGGGAGUCGAUUACGCAAGGGGAAUGUAUUAGCACCCCUCACGUCCGUUGUACUCAACGGGAACCAUUAGGUUAAUUGUGCGCGUUAGUGUUAGCUUGAAAUGUUAGGCUUCUUAAGUUAUUAUGAGGGAAAGAAAUAAUAGGAUCAAAAGAAAAGAGAAGAUCUUUUUGGAUUUUUGCAACGAAGGGGACUAAACCUAAGUUUUUUAUUAAUGGGCCUGACAAGAUUUCGCAAUCUUGCUCCUACGUAUCUCAAUAGAGAACUCAAAGCUUACGUAGUUCUGGGUAGAAAAAUAUUUGUUUGUUGGUCAAUUUUAGCAAAAAAUAUAUUGUAUAAAUCGACGAAAACAUUGUUUUACCCAAAAUAGAUGAGGAGCGGACGUAUACCACACAUCAAAUGGAUUUACAAAUCAACAUACGGAAAAACGUCAUUUAUCUCAACUCAACAAUUGUGGUCGAAACAUUGCUUUACAUCACCUUAAGACAAGGAGUCUUUCGUUUAUGAAAAGGUUUUUAAAGAU
rnacentral:lncRNA from 1 species